rnacentral:lncRNA from 1 species
UUUUACUAUGUAUGAAUCGAUAUUAUUCUAUUCCAAUUUUUUUCUAAAACUUCCCAAGAAAAUUUCCGAAAUGGAUCCAAAAUUGAUGGGUUAAUGCGAGCUUAUCCAUGCAAUUAGGCACUUUUCAAAUAGGAACCCAUUUCCUAAUUGGCUUUUGUGUUUUGGUGAGUCGUCCAAGAUCCUUUUAAUGACCUAUGUUGUGUUGAAGGGAUAUCUACAUGAUCCAAUCGAUUGCAUAAGACCCUCAGUAGCAAUAGAACAGGGAACACAUUAUACAUAAAAGAUAGUUUUUUAAUUUUAAUUAUCUAUGCAUUAGUCUAUUUCUGUUUCUAGAUAUCUAUUUCUAUAUAUCUAUAUAUUAGUAUUAGUUAGAAGCACUAUUCUAUUAGUUAGCAAUUUCAGCUCCGUGAGUUCUUUCUCUUCAUAAUGAAUUGUCGACAGUAGUCCUACAUUUUCUCAAUGGGCCGAGGAAAACAAGAGCUCAACAGGAAGAGGAUUAUACCAUGUGAGAAGCACAAAGGUCAACCCACUUCGAAUAUAGAAUAUGGAUUAUGGCAAUGCAACAAAGUUGGGUCAUCAAAUCGAUCCAAAUGAAUCAAUCUUUAUACGUAGGUCAAUCUUUGCGAUAGCAAGUUUGAAAUUUUGUCUUGGUAGGACAUGGAUUUCUAUUACUAUGAAAUUCAUAAAUUAGUUUAUGGGAGGGCUACCAUUAUCCUUUUUCUUGUAUGUGUUCCUAAGAGAAGGAAUUUAUCCAUUUCAUGUUUCGAGGUCUAAAAAAGGACAUGAAAACCAAUAUAAACUCUUAAAUGGAAAUUGAAAAGCAAUGUAGCCCUAGUUCCUUUGAAAAUGGUAAGAUCUUUGGUACAAGAAGGGGCGAUCCAUAUCAUCUUGACUUGGUUUUACUUUCUCUCUUCUUUUUAAGAGAUACCGGAGUCGGGUUCUUCUCCUACAAGUACUGAAUAGAACAUGGCAAACAAGAUCUUCUUCAUGGAAACCCACUUGAUUUAGAUAGGGAAAAGCUUAUAGAUUUUAUGAAGUCAUGUGCUAUGGAUCGAAUCCAUAGUCAAUUCUAUUUUUGAUAGGACCAGUUGAUAACUGAAUCCACUUUUCUCAUUAUUGGACUGUCCAUAAUAGUGCAGAUAGAAAGACUAGAUGAAGAGUGGUUUGACCUUGUGUUUCUUGCCCCUUUGCCUUAGGAUUCAUUAAUUCUCUCUUUCUCAGUGGGAUGGGGGAGGGAUAUAACUCAAUGUAGAGUGUCAUAUUCACGUGUUCAUCAUUUAUGAUAUCAAACCACUCUGUUGCUUGAUGAUUACUUUAUCCACUAUUGUUUCCUAGGACCAAAGUUAGCAUAUGGAGAACAUGCCAUCACCUGUUGCAGCACAUCGAGAAGACUAUGGUGUUCCUUUUACAUCAUUUUUCAUAUCAAUAGUGGCAGAGCCUGACCCAUAAUCAGGGGGAGGGGAGCUCAAUUUUCCUUAGAUAAUAGGAGUAUACUAUGUUUAUUGCCAGAUUAAUCAUAGUUUUGAGGCCAACUAAUUCUACUUGUUGGAGAUAGAUGGGCCAUGAGGCCAUUACAUGCACAUUUUGCAGAUAAGUAAACUGAAUAUCUAGCUCCUCAGAUAAACUGAUUACCUAGACAUGCAAAUAAUCAAAAUAUACACAAAUCUUCAUUAAGUUUUGUUAGCCUAGGGGAGUGGGGGUGGGGUGUGGGGGGGGGGGGGGUUGCAGAGCUCGGCAUGGCCUCACUAGGCGUUCCACCAGUGCAUAUCAAUCCGUCCUAGCUUAAGCCAUAUUUUGUCCUUCCUGUAAUUAAUUGACAUUGUUCUUCGUAUAUACUCUCUCCGUCCUACUAUUUUGAUUUUUAAAUUUUUUUAUUUAACCAUUCAUUUUAUUAAAAAAUUUGGUAUAAGUAUUAUUUAUUUUUUAUGACUUGUUUUGUCAAUAAAAAUACUUUAACAAUAAUUUAUUUAUUUGACUAUUUAUAUAAAAAUUUAAAUAAAACGAACAGUUAAAUAAAAAAAUCUAAAAGUUAAAAGCAAUAUUUUUAAUGAAAUAGAGGGAAUACUGCUUUGUUAGAUGGUACAACUGACUUCUAAUAGUACCAUAUUUUUAUUCCACUUUUAGUAGUGCAAGUUUGUCGUUCUUGCAUGCAGGACGGCUCAUUAGUCAUUCAUAAGCUACCACUUUCUAAACUCACACAUCAACACACCCGUAUACGUGAAUAUAUGGACAAAUAAUGAAUAUCACAAUAAACGAAACGGUGCACUGACUAGGCAUCUACCGUAUUUAAAAACACUGUAGCUAGUACUCCUGACUGUUCCGGAGACUGAAGAAAAGUUUGAAACACGCAGCAGCAAACGACGGGAUGCAUCUACGGACUACGCGGGGGUGGGGGGGCGAAGGAAUGCAUGCAUGCAUGUCGGAAAUACUAGCAAACAGAGCUGGUCCGCGUAUCGCAUCCAGAGUCCAGACACGUCGGUCUAGCUGUACUUAAGCUGUGCCUGGUGCCGUGGUGCGCGGUGCGCGCGCGCGUGAUUCCCAGUCCCACUGGGCCGGCCUCCUUGCGCCCACAGCGGCCAGCGGCAAGGCAACCCCACAAAACCAACCAACCCAUCACACACGGGCAAGCCUAAAAGUGGAGGGCGCGCGCCAGGACUGAGACCGAGAGAGUGGCUGCUGCUGGCGAAUCCAAUCCUGGACGAGAUUAGGUACGGUAGAGAUAGAGAGGCCCAGGAUGAGAGUGGCGGUGGUGGGCGCCGGCGUGAGCGGGCUGGCGGCGGCGCACGAGCUGGCGAGGAGCGGCGGCGGCGGCGGCGCGACCGUGACCGUGUACGAGAAGGAGGACUACCUCGGUGGGCACGCCAGGACCGUGGCCGUCGAGGACGACGACGCCGACGGCGGCGGCACCGUGCAGCUCGACCUCGGCUUCAUGGUCUUCAACCGGGUACGUCUGCAUCUGCAUGCAUGCCCGGCGUCGUCAUGGUCUGCGGCAUGCCCGGCAGCAAUUCUCCAUCUAUAUGCCUGCUUUGAGCUUUCCUAGUGCUACUCGUGUGCGCUGCGGCGUAUAUGUAUAUAUCCACGGGCAUUAUGUGCCAUUCGGCGUGAACAGCUCUCCCUCCUCCCUUUUAGGCGCGCGGUUUCAACAACUGAUCUUUUGUUUUCGAUUUAGCCGAGCAAUCAUUCUCUUUUCAUUUCCGUUUUCCGUAUUUAUUCUUCCUGUUCAUGGUUGGCAGAACUAGCGGAUAAAAACGUGGAUUGGUUAAUUAUCGUUCCAUGAUUAGUUGCUCGAUAAUAAGAUGCAAAUAAACCAUCAAGCUAGCAAUCCAUAAUGAUAUAAUCAUGAUCCUGUUUGGCACAACUUCGUGAGUUGUUCUAAACUGUUUUUUUUUAUCAAAUGGACCUUUUGAAAAUAGCUUCAUUACUAUUUAAAUCGUCUUGAAUGAAGCUAAAAAUAGUAGCUUUUUAUAGUCUAACCAUCCACUUAUAGGCCCUAUGCAAGAUUCUCUCUCGGAGCAUGAUUUAAGAAAAUCUAUAUACAUAGAGCUUUUGCUAAAUAGAUUUCCAAACAGUUUUAGCUUCAUCAUAAAAAUUGUUCGUAAAGCUAAAAAAGAUACAGCUCUACUGAUGAGCCGUGCUAGCUAAACGACGCCAAUAUAAACAUAUGGGACCGGGAAACGGUGCCGUGCGAUAUCGAGGCGACGUGGAGGCAGCAGUGACCUUACGACCUCACGUGGUUACCAGCAAAACGCGAGAGCCCAAAAUGCCAACACCUUCUGGUGGGUUGGCUCCCUUUUUCUAGGCAUCUAUAUCCCACAUGUAGUAGUUAUAUUUUCUCUAGAAAAGACCAUGUACCAUACUAUAUUCUACGACUUGUCACAUUGCUUGAUUGCGACGGUGUCCAGUAGCUAUGGCUACUAUUAACAGCAGAAGAUUAGCGUGGUUAUUAGGAAUGCUGUCGGCCUCACUUAGUAUUUUCCGAGGACCAGUCCACAUCUCUGUGUUACUGUGUACCCCUCUUCCUGUCCAUACAUUUAUUUAUUUUUUAGAAUCUAUAUAUAUUGCCGUACGUCAUCCGUUCCAAAACAUAGAGGGUAUAUUAAGACUAUAAAAUUCAAAGUUCACAAAUAUUAAUUAAUAAUGGAUUAAGUUGUAUACAUGUUUAUGCAGUAUUUAAGAGUUUAUUUUUCUCCGUGGUUUAAUAAUUGGUUAAGUUAUAUACAUAUUUAAUUAAUAAUUGGAGUAGUAUAUAAGAGUUACAUCAGUGGUUUCACAUUCCACACAUUUUUCAAAACGAUUUUUGAUUUUGUGACCAUUGAUGGUGUCUUGUAUGAACAACUAAUGGUCAAAGUAUACUUCUAAAAACUUACUCAAAUCAUAAUACACCUCAUAAAAAGGAUUGGAGUGAGUAUUAAAUAAUCUACUCUAUACAUAUUUAUACAGCCUAGUUUGACUUGGUGAGGUCACAUCAAGAUCAUACUUGGUGGUUUUAUACUGCAUCGGUCGUGGCUAUAAAAUUUACACAAUAUAUACAAAAGUAUUUUUAAAUGCGAAUCUACUCAUCAUGCUAAAUACAUAUAUGUAAUAGUCUAUAUAUUAUUAAGCUAAUGGUUAUUCAAAUAUAUAUUAAGGAGUUCAAAUUAUUCAUUAUUUUAAGAAAAAUAAAGGAAAUUAUAUACACUAUAUUGGCCCCAACAAUAAUCUGUCCAUAUAAAGGACAGGCUUCGCAAGAGACAUGCAUUCGUUUUAGCUUAUAUGCCAAAUCUGUCAAUCAUUGAGCAUUAUUUUUCUUUCACAAUAAAUCAGCAAACAAUAUUUCACCGCAUAGCUUUUCAGACAAGUUAACAGGCUCUCAAUCAUGACUUAUCAACCAAGCGAACAAUACUAAAGAUGCUUAUGCCAUCACUAACCUGUGCAAAGUGGAAUUGAAAAAAACAUGUGCAAUGCGAGAAUCAAGAUGGUCUGAUGGAGAUGAGGUGUAUAAAACACCGCUGGCGGGGAAAAAAGUACGACUUAUACAAUAAGCGAACAAGCUUUAAGUAUGUUCGCUAAUUUAUUGUGAGAAAAAAACAUUACUAAAUAACUGACAGAUUUGACAGCUCAAACGAAAAGGCUAGAUUUUUUUGCCGUCUCAGAGCAACUCCAACAAGGCCUCUACUUAAGCUUCCAUAGCUAAAUAUGAGUGCUCAGGCUAAAAAUAACACUCCAGCAAGGCCUGUACUAGAGCCCCCAAUUUGGAGUGGGCACCCAAAUCUCCCUAGCAAACCCCAUUCCUGUUGGCCCAAUACCUCAGCUCUCAUCCUGUGUGGUGUGGCUAUUACCUCCACACUGUACAGACGCAGCCUCGUCCACUUUCCUCCAUCGUCGAUCUCCACUACCGCGCUCCCUCCCUCCACCCUCGACCUCCACCGCUGGGCGGAUUCGCCGGUGCGUAACUCCGACGUGGCCCCUUCCCUGCCAUGUGGGCGCUGCCCCCGAUGCACGAGAGCUCUCAUCUCUUUUGCAUCAUGGCCUCUGUGUGGAGGAUGUGAGAAGAAAGAUUUGACCCAAUGGCAAGUGGGUCCCAUAUGUUAUUAUCUGCCAAUUUAGAUUUGGAGAUCUUCAUUUGAGGUGCUGUUGGAACAGAAACAAAAAUUUUGAGCACCCAAAAAGUAAGAGAGCAUCCAAAUGAAAAAUAAACCCUGUUUUUUUAGUGCUGGAGUUGCUCUCGUGUAACAAUCGCAACGCCAACGGUCGGUAUCACCGCUGUCACUUCCGUCAACACAGUGGGUGACCAAGCCACCAAGGCCUGGUGCAUGGUAGCCAUUGGUCGAGGCAAUCCGACACGCGACACCGUGUGGAUAGCUUGGCAUCGGUAACAGCUGAGCACCAAUAUUGUCAUUUGCUUACUGUAGAAAAAGAUCGGAGGGAGUACUGUACGUCCAACAAUCUGCUAAAACUAUCCGAGACUAACAUAGAUGACGCACGCAUGUUACUUUGACUCUUCUCUGCUUCCUCAACCGCUCGUCUUCUUUGACCCAAUCAAAUAGUAAGGGGUCUCCUAAAAAAACAAGAGGAAAACAAUAGUAAGGGUGUCUCCACCAAACCGGCGGCGGUGCGAGGUGGACAGCACAGAUCCGGAGCGGCGGCGAACGGAUCGCGACCGGGGUGAGAACAAGCCAGGCGGGACACAACCGCCGCAAAGGAACAAUCCGGCGUCGAAGACGGAGCAACGGCUUCUGCUGAGCAAUGGCCGGUCCGCGGUCGGCCAAGCCACAUGAGGAACCAAGUAGGAGGAGUACACGACAAACUAACUGACCCGGCGCCGGUGGUGGAUGUGGAUCCACUCCACGCCCCAUGCCCGUGCGUUCAUUUGCGUCUUCGUCGCGCCCCAUGCCCGUGCACCUCAGGCGUUCGUCUUAAUGCCUGUGAGGCACACCGCGCGCAUACUCCUACCCUCUCUGCACGGUGAUCAAUGGCGCUCAAUUGCAGCGUGGUGGACCGCCAGGUCGACCAUGGAGAAGUGCCCCAUGGACAGGCGGAGUCGGCGAAACCCCAUGCAGCUCAAGGUGGACGGCCGUGUGCUCGACCUCGUAGACGUUGCCACUGCCAAGGAGGUCGAGGGCUUGGCGAACCGCACCAAGAUCUGGACCAUCGUCAACGAGCUGACUAACCACGGUUAGUGUCAGCUUCAGCCUCGAGCUUAUGCCUGACCACCAGCAGUUCAGUUCGUCGCUUGAACUCUGGCAGUCUGGCUUUGCUCUCUCCUGGUCCGUAUUUAUGCACUAUUCUCAAUCCUUUAAUUUCCGCAAAACAAGUUGUUUGUUGGCAAACUAUCUGAAAAAUAGACUACAUUUAAGUUUCUACUCUGCGAAACUACACUUGACCUUGACCAUUCUCAAUGCACUAGCCAUAUGCACUAGUCAUAUUUGACAGGAACUGACAGGUCACAUUUGCAAAUGACCAGUGCACAUUAGUUAUUAUAUGGCUAAUCUUGGGCUGUAUUAUGCACGAGCGAGCAAAACUGCACAUCUACUGGUAAAGCAAAAAAGAUGAUUGCAUGUUUGAAGUAUGUAUCUACCUUGCAGAACAAUUGACUUGCAUGAUCAGGAAACAAAACUAACAUAGGGUGGCCUGCAUGUCAGUGGCAUUGUAAGGCAAUGCACGUCAUGAUGUGCGGUGAGCACAUUAGUCAGAUAGCCUCUGUUUAUAAUUCACACAGCCCUAAUCAACCUCACAUCAGAGUGUGUCCUGCCCACAUGGCAAACACAACAUUGUUCGGUGCUAAAAUGCUAGAACACCUCAUUAUUGAUCCAUAAAAAAGUGACAGGGUAGAGCUCCUUGAUCAACUUGGUAAGAUUUGCAGAUAAAUGGAAUGAUAACUUAAGUGUAUAGUUUUCUAUUAGUUUUACCAGUAAGUGAGAAAUUUGGGAUUUGCCAUGAUUUUCAAUUUUGACCAGUGGUGCACCAAUUACAAAAAAAUGGUGCACCAUUUGAAUUUACUUGUUGCAAAUAUUGUUUCAUUCGUAUACCAUAGAGCUUGUGACAUAUUAAUGCACUAAAUGUCAGGUUACAUACCCAAACAUGCUGGAAUGGUUUGAAGGGCUCGGAGUGGAGAUGGAGAUAUCCGACAUGUCCUUCUCAGUGAGCACACAAUUGGGGACCAGCGCCAGCAGAUGCGAGUGGGGCAGCCGCAAUGGUAUCUCAGGCCUCUUGGCACAGAAAAGCAAUGCACUGAGCCCUAGUUUUUGGCGCAUGAUUCGUGAGAUACUCAAGUUCAAGAACGAUGCUCUCAAGUGAUAAUACAUCUCGAUCUCAUUCCGAAUAACUAGAAUUAACUAUGCUCUCAACUGAUAUAUAAUAACCCAGAACUGAUGCUUGUUUUUGCAGGUACUUGGAGGACCAUGAAAACAACCCUGAUAUGGACCGGAAUGAGACCCUUGGGCAAUUCAUUCAGUCUCAUGGAUAUUCUCAGUUCUUCCAAGAGGCUUACCUUGUACACCUCUGUUCUUUAUUUGUCUAUAUGUUUUAAGUUUGCAGCAGAUUAAAAUGGCAUAUUUGCUUUGCUGCAGAUCCCAAUCUGUGCGUGUAUAUGGUCAUGUCCAUCGCAAGGAGUGUUCGGAUUCUCUGCUUUCUUUGUGCUCUCAUUCUGCCGUAACCAUCAUCUUCUUCAGGUGAACAAGCUUGUUAAUUAGGCUGACUAAUUUUUUGUCAUGGAUGCUAAUUUUUUCUCUUGCAUUUUAACUAUGCAUUCAGUUGUUCGGUCGCCCCCAGUGGCUCACAGUGAAAGGUCGUUCGCACUCCUAUGUGCACAAGGUGCUGUCCUGUAGUCCCUUUUCCUUCUUCACCCUCCUUAGAUGAUUGAUCAAUUCAACUAGUGCACACCAGCAGGUAAGGGAGGAGUUGGAAAGUAUGGGUUGCCAAAUUAAAACAAGCUGCGAAAUCAAAUCUGUUUCAAGUUCUGAGGGAGGUACUGCUAAUGCAAGCUCUCUAUCAAGUAUUUCUUCUGAUUAUCAUCUGGUUACUAAUCCAAAGCAAGUGAUCGGUAUUGUUUUGUUUGCCUCAGGUUUCAGGGUUACAGUGUUUGAUGGUUCAGAGGAGACAUAUGACAGAGUCAUAUUUGGUGUCCACGCACCUGAUGCUCUAAAGAUUCUAGGAGCUGAAGCAACACACGAAGAAUUGAGAAUCCUAGGAGCUUUUCAGUAUGUCUACAGGUAAUGCAUGCUAUGCACCUAUAGAUCUAGGUUUGUUUGGUUGGAUCUGAUCUCCAUCUGCACCUUCACUGCAGUGAUAUAUACCUCCAUUCCGAUAAAAGCUUGAUGCCACGGAGUUCGUCUGCUUGGAGUUCCUGGAACUUCCUGGGCACGACAAGCAAGGGGGUUUGUGUAACCUACUGGCUAAAUCUGCUUCAGGUAGUUACCUUGCCUUAACAUGGAUAGCAGCAACUAGCAAUGUAUUUUUUGCUUAAUAUAUGUAUGUAUAUACCACUAUAUACUUUGAUUAAUAGAUCCUUACUGGAAUAUUUUCUAGAACAUAGAAUCUACAGGCAGGCCUUUUCUGGUGACACUGAAUCCUCCUCAUGUCCCAGAUCAUGUCUUGCUUAAAUGGUACACUAGCCACCCUGUCCCGUCUGUGGCUGCCGCAAAGGCUUCUCUUGAGCUUCAUCACAUUCAAGGAAACAGAGGAAUUUGGUUCUGCGGGGCAUACCAAGGUAAGUUACUCCAUCAAUUAACCUUUUAGUAAUACAUACAUGGCUUGCGUCAAGGACAUUCAAGGCGCUGAAAGACGUACAUGGCUUGCAUCAAUUAAGCUAGUGUGUCUGUUUUAUUUCAAAAUGCUGUGUGGGCUGUGUGCAUUCAAAAUGCAGAGGUUGGAAGUGAUCUCGAGAUAGUUGUAUCAAUUGAUGUAAUUGUUUUGAAACUAAUGAAAGCUUCCUUUAUAAAAAAAAAUCAAGGACACUCUGACUUUGCGGCUUUUUCUGAAAGACAAAGAAUAAUGGAUCUUUGCUGUUGGACAAUUACAAAAGUCCAGUGUCCUAGAGCAAAUGAACUACUCAUCUUUGCUGCAGUAUACUAGAUUGUGUCUUGCAGAAAAUACGUAUGCUUUUGUAGCAACAACAAAGAUCAUUUUUUAGUGCUUUCAUCAAAAGGCACCAAGUAGGAGUGUUCUCUAGCAAAAUUUGCCAACUAUUUGUAAGCAUAUCAGCAAUUAGAACACUGUAAUUAGUUCUAAAAUUUAUUUAUCUUCUGAUUGGAUAACAGGUUAUGGCUUCCAUGAAGAUGGACUCAAGGUACUGUACUACAAUCUGCGACACACAACCUGGCUACCAAUGUUUGGAUAGGAUUUUUACUUUUGUGGCUCCAUGUACAAGUAUAAAGUAUGUUGGAAUGCAAUUUUCAAUAUGACAUAGGAAUUGAUGCAUGCCUGCAGGCUGGGAAAGCUGCAGCUCAAAAUUUGCUUGGUAAGGAGAGUGGCCUUUUGGUGAACCCAAAACAGAUGAUCCCAUCGUGGUCUGAGACUGGGGCACGUCUUCUGGUAGCAAGAUUUCUUGGUCAAUAUGUAUCCGUCGGCAACUUGGUGUGAGUUGUUCAACCAAUUGACCAAUAUAUCACAAAAAUGUCUAAUUGUGACUCCUCUGACUUGAUUAAUUCUGUGUCUAGCUUGCUUGAAGAAGGAGGCACUAUGUUCAGUUUUGGUGAAGUGGGCAAACAAUGCCAUGUGAAAUCUGUCCUGCGAGUACAUGACCCCAUGUUUUACUGGAAGGUUCUCUUUUCUCUUCUCACGGUUCUGGCCCACUACUUUUGCUGGCUCUGAUCCACGUCACUUGAAAUACAUUCUUCAGGUUGCAACUGAAGCAGACCUUGGCUUGGCAGAUGCCUACAUUAACGGUUAUUUCUCAUUUGUAGACAAGAGAGAAGGUCUUCUAAAUCUUUUCCUGGUAAGAUCUUACAGUCUAGAUAGUCAAGUCAAACAAUUGGCACAUGUUUUUUUUAGGGAUCAAAUUGGUACAUGUACAUAGACAGUCCUAAUUACUUGUACAUAUAUGGUGUUGUUUCCUGUUUGAUUUUGGAUUACAUCCAUGCUACAGAUUCUCAUUGCAAACAGGGACGCAAACAAGACUAGUAGCAGUGCUGCAAGUAAAAGGUUAGUCCCCUCCAAAUUUCUCCAUUUUUAAAAUUAAAAUCAAGCAGUAUAUAUGAACUCUAGUACUAAAUUCUACAAUCAACUGCUAAGUAUUUCCUUCAAAAAAAACUGCUAAGUAAUCAUGUACACAUGUAAUUUGUAUGGCCGUCAGGGGUUGGUGGACACCCCUGCUAUUGACAGCUGGGGUUGCCUCCGCUAAAUACUUCCUGCGUCACAUAUCAAGGAAAAAUUCUGUCACACAAACACGUCAAAACAUCUCUCAACACUAUGAUCUGGUCAGUAAUGCUAGCACUUCUCAUUCUGCUUUAGGCUCCCCUCUAUGUUUGUUUACAAUACCUAUGAAAAAUUUCCCUCAUUCAUAAUGCCUCCAAAAAUUAGCAGAGUCAUUUGCUUUUCUCUAGGUUGACUAACAAUUUUGUUUCUCCUUCUGCAUUCAUUAUUUUUCUUCUAUGUUCAUGCAGAGUAAUGAAUUCUUCUCGCUUUUCCUGGAUCCAUCAAUGACUUACUCUUGCGCCAUCUUCAAGGUUUGUGUUGUGAUCAACUACCUAGUGUCGCUCGUGUGUUCGAGAGAAAGCAAAACUAGUGCCACUCGUCUCUAACUUGGUCUUCCAGCCUGUAAACAAAGUACUUUAGUACCAUCAAGUACUGAUUCUUGAUAUGUGCAUGCCUUAUAUGGUAGACGGAGGAUGAAAGCUUAGAGGCAGCCCAGCUACGGAAAGUUUGCCUCCUAAUCCACAAGGUAACAUACCGAAACUAUCAAUUUAGUUAAUACUGGUCUGACAACUAAUAAUUUCAUAUAUACUCACGCAUGCCUGAUCUGUUGGAUCACCAGUAUAUACUAUACUGGUCUGAUAGUAAAUACUUGCAUACAUGUGUGUGCUUUCAGUCCAAGGCUUUAUUUGCAUACAUGUGUAUUAUGAUUAGAUGGGUCACCAGUGUGCUUCAUGCCAAAUCGAUUGUAGGCUAAAGUGGAGCGAGAUCACCACGUUCUUGAGAUUGGUUGUGGCUGGGGCAGCUUAGCAAUCCAAUUGGUGAAGCAAACUGGUUGCAAAUACACUGGGAUCACAUUAUCAGUGGAGCAACUGAAAUAUGCACAGAGAAAAGUGAAAGAAGCUGGCUUAGAGGUUAGUGUGAAUCAGUACCCCUUUUGUUCUGCUAAUGAUUAUCUUGGUUGUUUUUAUUUUUCUUUUAAAAAAUGUUUGACAUUGAUUAUGCAUGGCAGGACCACAUAAGCUUCAUGUUGUGUGAUUACCGUCAAAUACCAACACACCGCAAAUACGACAGGAUCAUCUCUUGGUUAGUACAGUGCUUGGUACUACUAGCUGUAUAUAUAGAUUUAAUUGAUUUCUUGCAGUGUGGAGACUGCUAUAAGUAACAUAGCAGCUUGAUUCAGUUUCCUGAUAUAUAUGACUGAAAAUAUAUAACAAGGGAGCUGAUGCAUGCAUGAAAAUGUGUUGAUGGUUCAGCGAGAUGAUCGAAGGUGUUGGGCACGAAUACAUGGACGAUUUCUUCGGCUGCUGCGAGACCCUUUUGGCUCAAGAUGGCAUAUUUGUCCUGCAGGUAUCUAUAUUCUGUACACAUAAUGAACUCUCUAUAUGCAUCGUCGCAGACUCAACUGCAUGAUUUGUGAUCGACUAACUUGCACGGAUGUAGUUCAUCUCAAUCCCAGAAGAACGGUACGAGGAAUACAGGCGCAGCUCAGACUUCAUCAAAGAAUACAUCUUCCCCGGGGGCUGCAUCCCUUCGUUGGCCCGGAUCACGUCUGCCAUGUCUGCAGCAUCAAGGCUCUGGUACACAACAUCACCAGUCAUCUAUCUAUAUAAUGAUCCCUUCUGAUUAACUAUAGUAUAUGAUGAUGAUCCAAUAUGUUGGAGUGCAGCAUCGAGCACCUUGAGAACAUUGGGUACCAUUACUACCCAACGCUGAUACAGUGGAGGGACAACUUCAUGGUCAAUAAGGAGUAAGUACACAGCUUGCUACUAGCUACCAGUGCAGGCUGAUGCUGGCAUGUACUAGCAUACAUGUAUCUCUCCUUGUCUUAAUAUAUAACGCUGCAAGAGAAUACAGUGUGUUAUUCAUUCUAGCAAGGUAUAGAUUAUUAUUGAUAUUAACCAGAUUAUAAAUGUUGCUCCGAUCCUCUGCAGUGCAAUUUUGGCCCUGGGCUUCGAUGAGAAAUUCAUCCGUAUAUGGGAAUACUACUUCAUAUACUGCGCCGCUGGUUUCAAGUCACGGACACUUGGGAAUUACCAGGUAUGCGUACAGCUACGUCUGUUCAUGGAUUGAUACGAACAGUAAACAUGAAUACGAAUGGAUAUCGUAUUUUUGCAGAUUGUGUUUUCUCGCCCUGGCAACGACAAACUGAGCAACAACGGCGAUCCUUACGCAAGCUUUCCGGCAGCUAAUCAAGCUAGCUAGCUAGCUAACGAGUCUACGCCCGAUUUUUUUUGGAAGGGAUGUGAUUCAUCCGCACUACAGCAGCCAUCGUUAUUCAUUCCGUUAAUUCAAUUCCGGGCACAUGCUUCCAUGAAUGUGUGAACUCAAUGCAACAAUGCAAGGAUUUAUACGAAUGGAUAGAUAUAUAUUUUGGUGGUAGCUGAAUCAGUCGGAGCCUACACUACACUUCAACGUGAGCCCUUGAAUUCGUGAUCCAAUUGAACACGCAGUACUGUACUACUAUGUGUGUCACUAACUGAUUGUACUUGCAACCGCGGAUCAGUCCAUUGCUUCGAUCCAUCUUGACGCUCCAUCACUUUCAGUUCGCCCAUCCAAUGACGACUGGCACAUGGCCAAGCUGGGACGCAGGAGACUCGAGCAUUCACUUUCACUGGAGAUAUCGUUGUGUUGUGUGCAGCUAGCGCUGUACUGAUGGAGCCCAAGAAACGUAACGUCUAACGUGUGUUGCAUCAAUCUAGUGUUCACGGUGCAGUAAUUCCGUGUGCAGCACGUACAAGUAGUGCAACGACGUGCACAUGCAAUUCAUUGAGCCAGCACCAGUAGUCGUACCACUCGUCUCUUAUAGGACGCGGGGGGCACGUGUACACCUCUCCGUAUUCAGGUUCAGCAACCUCCACGGCUGCACCUCGUAUAUAUAUAUGUACCUGUAUAUCCAUCAGCUAGCUAGCUAGCAGCAGCAGCAGCAGCAGCAAAGAGCGAGCUAGACAGACAUGCCGGGGCUCACGACGAUGCUGGCACUGCCAUGGGCAUCAUCACCACCGGUGCCGCCGCCGGUGAAGAAGAAGCUUUGCUUCAGCACCAGCAGCAGCAGCAAGAGGACGGCGAGCGCGACGAUACCGCUGGUCAACAAGAAGCACUCCGCUUCGUCGGCACACCUCCUCCUCAGCCGCGGCCGUGCCCUAAUGGCAGCGACGGUAACGGCACCCGCCUUUUCUGACGAUGACCAGCGAAAGGAGCUGCUGCUGCGGCACCUGGGGGAGGACGGCGGGUGGGUGGAGGAGCAGAUGCUGUCGCUGCUCACCCCCGUGGACGAGGCAUGGCAGCCCGCCGAUCUCCUGCCCACCUUCGCUGCCGCCACCGCCGAGGAGCAUCGGACCCAGGUGGCGGAGCUCCAGGCCCGCGCGGCCGGCGUGCCCGACGAGCUCCUCGUGUGCCUCGUGGGCAACAUGAUCACGGAGGAAGGCCUGCCCGCGUACAUGACCAUGGGGAACCGGGCGGGUGGCGGCGCCGGCAUCGUAGACGCCACCGGCUGCGACGACCACGGCUGGGCUCGCUGGCUGCGCGGCUGGACCGCCGAGGAGAACCGCCACGGCGACGUGCUCAACCGGUACCUCUACCUGUGCGGCCGCGUGGACAUGCGCCAGGUGGAGACGACGGUGCACCACCUCCUCCGCCGUGGCAUGAGCAUGCUGGAGCCCUCCUGCCCCUACCACGGCUUCAUCUACGGCGCCUUCCAGGAGCGCGCCACCUUCGUCUCCCACGCCCACACGGGCAAGCGCGCGGCGCUCCACGGGGACGCCUGCCUCGCCAAGCUCUGCGGGGUCAUCGCCGCCGACGAGAAGCGCCACGAGGUCGCCUACACGAGGGUCGUCGCCAGGUCCUUGGAGGGCGACCCGGACGGCGUGGUGCGGGCGCUCGCGGCCGUGAUGCGAGCCAAGGUCACCAUGCCCGGCGAGCGCAUGACAGACGGACGCGACGACAACCUCUUCGAUCACUUCUCAGCGGUGGCGCAGCGCGCGGGGGUGUACACGGCGGCGGACUACGGCGACAUGGUGGAGCACUUCGUGCGCAGGUGGAAGGUGGCGGAGCUCGAGGGGCUGUCCGGCGAGGGGCGGCGCGCGCAAGACUACGUGUGCGGGCUGCCGCGUAAGAUCCGCAGGAUGGAGGAGCUGGCCCACGACCGCGCGGCCCAAAAGGAGGCCCAAUCCGUCAAUAUCAGCUGGGUGUUCGACAGGCCCGUUCGUCUGCACUGAAGGAAAGUCGAAGGCCAUCUCCUCAACUGAACAAGGCCCAAUUACUAGUACUGGAGUAUAUUGUAACUGAGCUUAUGCACUGUACAACUAUAAAUGUGCAGCUCUAAGAUCACAAACUUUAAAUAUGUACAUAUAUAAGACCUAGUAAGUUUCCAUGAUAAAUAAAGCUUGAAUAAUUAUUACUAUAUACUCCCUUCAUUCCGAAUUAUAAAUCAUUCCAAAAAUCUUGGAGAGCCAAAACAUCUCAAGUUUGACUAAAUUUUAAUGAUAACAUAAUAACGUUUAUGACACCAACUAAGUACCAUUAGGUUCUUCAUUAGUUAUAUUUUCAUAUUAAUAUCUAUUUGAUGUCAUAAAUCUUUCUAAUUUCUUCUAUAAUGGUGGUCAAACUUGAGAUGCUUUGACUCUUCAAGAUUCUUGAAUUGGGAUGGAGGGAGUAUAUAAGAAUGAAAUUGUUGUUAGCCUCUUGUUGAUUUGCAGGAUUCAUUUGGUCCUAAAGACCGAUUUCAACCGUGCAACUAUAUGUUUACAUGUAUCAAAUCACUGGGUGUAGUGUGCUAAAAUCAGAUCCACCCAUACAUCCCUAACGCAACGAAACUCUACAGACAAAUUAUAACUCUGAGAGUACAACACCUUCGCACAGGUUCAUUACUUGUAUUUCUCCAUUAUCCUUCGGGCCUCUUCGACAGGGUCUUCCGAUGGGUCGCCCAUUGCUUCAUCCAACCUAGAGCUGGAGGCCUCCUUUGGGUUCAUAGCCAGGAAGCCGAGAUAUAUGAGGCCCAUCAUUGCCUGCGACCAGAAGACCCAUCAUUUGGUGCUAUCAAGUACCAUCAAAACUGAACCGCAAAAGACUGGAAUGUAUAAUGGAUGGCCUUUAGCUCUCGCAAAUAUGACAGUUAUUGGAAGUGCAGGGUACAUUUGCUAUUUGUCAGUCAAUAUUAAGCACAGCACAUUGAUCAUCAACAGCAGGAGAAUCAGACCGCAAAUGUAGCAAUUGCUUACCAGAACAAAUAAUGCAGUGGACACAACGGAUUUAACAAGGAAAAGGGCCACUGCCAUAGCGGCAAAGGUAACACCUAUCCUAGCAAUUGGUCGUGGAACUGAACCCUGUGACACAUAAGAGGGGGAUAAUCAGUCCAAUUUCAAAUCUUAAAGAAAAAGCAGAACAAGAGUUUCUUGUUGUCAGUACAUUUUCUUGAGAUCAAAACUUCAGGGGAAAAAACAUUUUCUUCAGAGCUAAGAGGAUGAUAGUUUAAGCGAUAUGAAUGGCCAAGGAAUACAUACUGGGACAAGAUUACUUCCUGCCUCCACAGCAUCGUUACCAACCCUCCAUGCUGUUUGAACAGCUGUUAUCAUAUAUGUAGUGUUAAGAGAAUAGCAGAAUAAGUUUUUUUUUUGAUAUAUUUCAUUACGCUAAAAAAUACCAGUCAGCAUAUCCUGCUCCUAGUCCUAGAAGGAUAAUAAAACUACAGAGGCCUCCAUAGAAAUAUAUAUGUAACCCAACAUGAGGACAGUUUACAAAGUAUACAGAUAAUUUCAUCAGGUACAAAAUCAAUGAAGAGUCAGCAGGCAAGACAAUAUUAGGUAUAGUAAAUGGUGCCAUUUUAGGUUAGCAUUCAGUACAGUUUGCAGCUCAUAUUUGAUGCUUGGUCCUAAACCCUGAAAGCUGAGCGCAGGAGCAGCAAUGCAUCCUGAGAGGUGACAAGGAGUGAAGAGGGGGAGUUUUAGUAUUGUACCAGAAUCAGACUAUUGUUUGUUUGAUGUGCCAGGAAGCUAGAAAUAACAAACCAACGAACGUCUGACAUGAGGUGUUAACUGUGUCUAGUUUGCCAGUGGCCCUUAACAUGACAACCUAACACAAUACUAUACUAGCACAAUUAGCGUCAUCUUAGUGCAUGGAUAUGGAAUGGAAUCACAGAACCCUGCAAACAUACAUCAGCUGAGCCAUGUUGUCUGUUAAUCUGCAGUGGGUGAGCAGACAAUGCAUCGAUGAUUGCUUGUGACUUCAGAAGCGAUUUCAAGAUUUGCAAGUUGAAUAAAUAAAUUGUUUCGAUGAUUGCUUGUGACUUCAGAAGCGAUUUCGAGAUUUGCAUGUUGCGACCACAAUCUAUGGAUUAGUUGUGACGACAAGCAGACACAGUCACACAAGUGAUGCUGCCAGGUUAAAUAAAUAAAAUUGUUUCAGAUGUAUAUAGUUUGGUAUAUAAUAAUAGUACUACUAAUUUUGCAGUUAGGAAGAAUGCCCCACCUGGCAGCUGAAACAAAAUAAUGGCAUCCAAGUCGUCCUCGCAAGUCGCAACAACAAGAGAAGAGAAAAUACGUGAGGUACGGUACCUCUGGAGAAAUCGAACUGCGCAGAGGCGGCGACGAGGCGCGGCUUGUGGGGGAUGGUACUAGGAGGCGGCGCCUGCCGUGGCAUGUGGAUGCAGAUAGGGGCCGCGAACGGAGGGAGCGGAGAGGCUAAGACUCUCUGGCGGGAGGCGGUCGACGGGAGCCAGGCGGCCGCCGCGGUCGUGGCCAUGGCCAUGGCGGGGGCGGAGAGUCGGAGAGAGCCUGUGCGGUGCCGGUGCGCCAGUGCCCGGAGGCCGGAGGUCAGCACGGACGGUCACGGAACGGAACUGGGAUAGGGCUGAGCCGCUGGGCUGUCAACGAGCCGAACUCGAGCGAGCCUCGUUUGAACUUCGAGCUCGGCUCUAGUAAGCUUUCCUCAAUCAGCUCCAGCCUCCGGCUGCUGUUUAUAUGGUAUAUAAUUUUUUUUGUGUGUGAAAUCUUUCUCCAGAACCAAAUCAAUACUAGUCCAAACUCCAAAGAGAACUGUGGCCUUGUUUAGUUCAUUCACCGUCACAUCAAAUCUUUAGACGUAUGCAUAGAGUAUUAAAUAUAGACGAAAAUAAAAACUAAUUGCACAGUUUGGUCGAAAUUGACAAGACGAAUGUUUUGAGCCUAGUUAAUCCAUGAUUGGAUAAUAUUUAUCAAAUACAAACAAAAUGCUACAGUGUCAAUUUCUCAAAACUUUUUGGAACUAAACAAGGCUGCACAUUCCAAAUUAUACAUCAGUUUAAAACAGUCUCAUGGCUUUAAAAAAAAGUUAUCAUGGCCAAGUGCUUGCAACAAACCAGUAUUGCAUUACCUCCUCGGAUUUGGUAUUGGUAUCAUCCGAGGUUUCCCAACUCCAGGCAGUCAAAGAAAAAAAGAACUCCGAGCAGUCAAAUUUUAAUAUAGUGAAGGCUGCGCCAGAGAAGCUUAUAAACGAUUCAAAGUAAGCAAUUUCUUGAUACCGAAAAGAUGAUCCGUGAUGUUGCCAUACAUAGGUUACUAGCAGGUUUAGGUAGCAGUGUUCCUUUCAGUCCAGAAAUUUCUAUUUUUCAGAAGAGAGAAGAAAAAAAGCUGCCACGAUACUCAGGUAUACAAACAUACCUAGAGAUGAAGACACGGAUGAGUAAAACAUUUCUAGGGUCUAUACUGCGUCAACAAAUUAAUUACAAAUUUCUGGAACAAAACAUAUUCAUGAACACACAAAUAGGAUGUACUAAAUCUUGCAACAACACAAUGCAGUCCAUUUUGCAAAUGAGGAAAAGGAGAGCUACUACCAUAGAAUUAGACCCUACAACUCCCCUGCUUACGCUCAAAGAGGCGGCGCAUGAGGUAGAUCUGCACAACGCUGGCUGCAACAAGGCCAGCUGAUUCAAAGAGUGCCUUGUGAACUAUCCUCCUGCUCAUGUUAUCGUUUACUGCAUCAUGGUAUGGAAGGAAGACAUUGCAACUUUAGCAACAAUACUGAGCUGGUAGCUGAUAAGUCAUGGAAACAAGUACUAUGCAUCGGAAGAGCCUAACCAAACGUAAGUGUAGAAAGAGCCCAGCGCGCACUCCACGGUGCCCACGCACCCGCAGAGCAUGCUCGUCCGUGUAUUCACGCACUUGUCCACGCACUCACCUGCUUAGGCUUGGCCUAGGCCUCUGUUGUAAUUUAUAUAUGUAGAACACCUGAGAUCAAUAGAAUUGUUUGUUGAUCAAUCUUUCUUUCUACAUGGUAUCAUCGUCCAUGGUUCAUCUUAUAAAACCCUUCGCCACCACUUCUACAAUAAUGGUGUUGUCUCCCUCGGACUCUACUGCUUCCGCUAACGACAAUCUCCACGUCGACCAGGCCUCCGCCGCCAACCUCCUAGAGGUCUCCAUUUGCUCCCACAUCCUGAUCACGCAGGACAUUGACGAGGCCAACUAUGGCCAAUGGCGCUGCUUCUUCGACUCCACGCUUGGCAAGUUCGGCCUUAAGAGCCAUGUUCAGUCGCCGACCCCGUCCGAGGAUUGUGACGACGAGUGGCGCAUGGUCGACUCCUGCAUCGUCAACUAGAUCUUCACCACUAUCUUUGACAUUGUUUGUCGGUCGUGCACUGCCGACAUUAUCUCUGUGGCACGCCAUCAAGGGCAUCUUCCUCGAUAACGAGCUGCAGCACGCGAUCUACCUCGAGGCCAGACCGUGCUCCACGCAGUAGGGUGACCUAUCGAUCAACGACUACUACACCAAGCUCAACCGCCUCACCGAUCAACUCCACGACAUCGGUCACCCCGUCUUCAAGCUGAGCUAGGUGCUGAAUCUCCUCCGAGGUCUCAACCCUUGUUACUGUUAUGUUAAGCGGAACAUCACCUCCAAAUUCCCGCCACACACCUUCAUGAGUGCACGCUCCUUUCUCAUCCUUGAGGAGCUAAGUGCCCAACACGAUGCCAAUGUCAAAGCCACGCAGGCUCUCGCCACCACCCAUGGAGGAGCUACUCUUCUCCUUUCUCAUCAUACCUAAGGUCUCCCCCAUGGGUGGCAACAAGAGCUUACCCGGCUUCGAUGUUGGCGUCAUGUUGGGCACUUAGCUCCUACAGGAUGAGAAAGCACUGUGCACUCUUGAAGGUGUGCGGCAGGAAUUUGGAAGUGAUGAACGUCUUGACGUAGCGGUAACGAGGGUUGAGACCUCAGAGGAGAUUCAACACUUGGCUCGACUUGGAGAUGGGGUGGCCGAUGUAGCAAAGUUGAUCGGCACGCUUGAGCUUGGUGCACUAGUCAUUGAUCAAUAGGUCGCCCUGCUGCGUGGAGCACGGUCUGGCCUCGAGGUAGACCACGCAUUGUAGCUCGUUAUUGAGGAAGAGGCCCUCGAUAGUGUGCCACAGAGAGAAGUCGGUGGUGCGCAGCUGACGAAUGAUGUCAAAGACAGCCUUAGGACAGAGGUAAGAUCCAGUUGACAGUGCAGGAGUCAACCAUGCGCCACUCAUCAUCAUGCUCGACGGACAGGGUCGGCGACAGGACAUGGCUCUAGAGACCAAACUUGCUGAGUGCGGAGUCGAAGAAGCAAUGCCAUUGGCCAUAGUUGGCCUCGUCAAUGUCCAACAUGACGGGGAUGUGAGAGCGGAUAGAGACUGCAUAGAGGGCGACAGCGGAGACUGGGUCGAUAGGGAGAUCAUCGGAAGAGGAAGUAGCAGAGUGUGAGGGAGACAACGCCAUUGAUGCAGAAGCGGUGGAGAAGGGAUUGAUAAAAUGAUCCUUUGACUCUGAUACCAUGUAGAAAGGAAGAAUGAUCAACCAACAAUUGUAUUGAUCUCAAGUGUUGUACAUAUAUAAAUUACAAUAAUGGCCAGAGGCCAAGUCUAAGCAGACGAGUGCAUGGAUAGACAUGGGCACUGUGGAGUGCGUGGCAUGCGUUUGACUGAAGAAUAGGAGAGCUCUAGCCAUUGGAGGUGUUCUGCUAACAGUAAGGUUCACACAAAAGGAUUGGGCAUGCACUCUUGUGUUCUCAUGGCGCUUAUAGUGGAGGAGCUAGAUAUGCAUCCCCAAUUUGUUAAUAUAUCCAAUGACUCUAGUUGAACAUAGCUGUGCAACCUUUUGCUUGAAUUGUAGGUUAAACAUGUUAAUGCGGGACAAACGAAUGUUCUGAGAAGUAUUGCAUAUGUAUGUAUUUGAAAAGGGCGAUAGAAAGGAUAUCAUGGACAAGGAUAACAUAUUACAACUCAUUAGUACUUCGACAAGAGACCAUGACAAGAGUGGCUUACAUAUUGCUUCGCGGUCUGUUUGGGCCUCAAGCCAAUGUUGUUCGAAUUGAAUGUUAUAGAGGGCUUCAUCCAACUUCGCGAUUUGUUCGAAUAAAGGGCUAAAAUGCUAUGCAUUUUUUUGGAGAUGAAUAGGGAUCAACAGACACUUUUCUUGUUAGACAACGUAAAAGGAUAUAGAAACUCAAGUCGUACCAUCUUUAGCAUGUUGGUCAGAAUAUGAUAAAUGGCCAACAUGCACAUCGAAGUCCACAGUUUCAUGAUACGGUGACUUAUUAGUGAAGCAAAAGUGAUGGACUGCCCUCUUGUGAACUAUGAAUUCAAACUUGUCACUAGUCUUGUCACAACAAUCAUGGAUUUGAUCACCUCUAGGAUCUUUAACCUACCAUAAAUCAAGAUCAAAUCAGCUUUAUAGUGGAUCUGGUCAAUAAAUAAUAAAUUUCUUAAUUAGUAGAAAUGGUAAUAACUGUAUUAUAAAGUAAUAUGAAUGAAAAGGUAAUGAAUUAAUACAGAUAUGAAUUGCCAAAACAAUAGAUCUGAAUGCAUCACUGCUUAAUAACAUUAAAUCAUGGACGCCUCAGCAUGAACUAACAGAUGAAAUAUUUGUCCAUUCUGUAUAGCUGAUCAGAUAUACAUGGGCUAAGAUACAAAACAAAUUAAUUUAUUGGAAAUCAAUCCUGAGUCCUGACUACUCUACUGACUAGUACAAUACAAUAACCGGUAACCAACCAACCCCAACCGGUCAACUGAUUCCAUCCUUAAAAGAGAGGAAUAAAGUCUAAUGCUAGAGCUUUACUACCCUCUCCAAAAGCAAAUUGGGAUCAUAGCUAAAUGAGUUGAACUAGUAGGUUGUACUGCUGACACUGAAUGGAUAGUAAGAUGUCAACUACAUUUUGUGCCCACUGCCCACCUUGUUAUUUCUGAUUUAUUAUGCUGAAUCUAAAUGUUUUCACUGUCAAACAAAAACAACUGUAACUGUAAACUUGAAAGCAGACAAACUUUUACCACAGAUUCUAAACCUGCUGGGUACAGUACAGACUACAGAGAACGAAGAUGAGGAAGAGAUGCCAUACCACAAGAUCGACGCCAUCCUGGGUAUAAUGCCACGGCGUCUCGGCCUUGAUGACAACGAAGGAUGCGUGGACCAUAUCCCCUUGGUACUCAACGUGGUGGGAGAAGCACUCCGCCCGGUCGAUCACGAAGCGGAUAGUCGCAGCAUUAUGCAAGAAAGGCACGAGACAGAUGAGUAGCAAGCAUCCAAUCCGAGGCUCGCCACCGCCAUUGUUUCACUGCCAGAAUCACAAUGCAAUCAAAACAGACCACGUCCGAUCAGAAUUUCUCAAGGAUAGGUGAAUCAUUAUAGCUACCCGCAAGUAGCACAGGCUACAGAGAUCGUGUACUAAUUGGCAAGAUAUAGAUUCUGGAGAACAGAACAGACACUCCCACUCAGCCACUCUCCCUACGAGGUGAAGGAAGCCAACCCAAAUCUAGACGGACGGAGGAAGACGACGGAUCUGCAGCGCGAGAGGUGCAGGAGAAUGGGAAAGGCGGAUCUGGGAGGAGGCCGAAGGGUGGAGGCGCGUCGAGAGCUGGCCUUGGACACGGUCUGAGAAAACACAAGCUUUACCCGCCUCCUCCGUAGAGCUUCACUGAAUCAAGCGGUUUUGCGGGAUUAGAGAGCAUGGGACCUUGUAUUUUCGUUGGGCUAACGGCUUCUCCAGCUCGAACUUGUGUACUUUUACGGACGAGAAAGGUGUGGGAACCCUUGUAAGUGUCACUUAAGCUAGAAAGUGAGUUGAUUUUGGCUAUCAGGGGAUCCAGAUUGAGUGAUUUUCCUAUGUAAAGUCACAAUGUAACUUUUUUUCAAUCUCUGCCCUUCAAAUUAGAUCCAAAGGCUAUCCUUCCUCUCAACUUGGGGCCCAUCCAUCAGCCACUGUUAGCUUCCAACACAGCGAGCAUGGUCGUCUUCUGCACAGCCACAUCAACUGGCUAGGACGACCCGCCGUAGGUGCCGCCUGCCAACAUAGGGUCGAUGAUGCGUUGUUGCGGCGCUGGAGGUGUGUACCUGAGGCGGCGUUGCUCGGCUAGAGAGCGGCCCCUCUACGGCGGCGCUUGGUUAGGACGCAUCUGACUGUGGAGAUGGCACUACAGGCACGCUCGCACGGCCAAGGGUGCAUCCACGUGGCGGUGACGCUCGACCGGGGCACAUCCUCGAGGCGGUGGCGCUCAGACGGAGACACAUCUGCGCGUGGAGAUGGCACUGUAGGCACGCUCGUGCGGUAGGGGCGCGUCCUCGAGACGACGACGCUCAGGCCAGGACACAUCUGCCCAUGGAGAUCACACUGCAUGCACACUCGCACGCCUAGGGGCACCGCUCCAUGGCAGGCGGCGCGUCUACAACGGUAGCGUGUCCGCGCGGAGACGAGGACCAACCACGACAGCGCACGGAGAGCAUACCGAGAAUGCGUUCUAGAUGUUGGUGCUCUGGUGGCCUCUUCCUCGGUCUCCAAUUAGUGCGGCCCUCGUCCCUUCUCUUCCGUCGCGCAACAAGAAGAGCACGAUUCCACGUCAGGGCUGCUGCCAGCUUGCCAUGCUGUCUCUCCCUUGCUUUCCUCCUCGGUCUCCAAUUAGUGCUGCCAGCUUGCUUUCCUUCUACGGACUGUGCAUCCGGCGUUGUGACUCUCUCCUGCACUAGUAUGUGCCUGCGCAGCCACCGCCGUCGCCGUUUGAGACAUGGACGUCGCAUGGAUGACGAUCGAGCUAGGCCUACGGUAGUACAUGCCUGCGCGACAGUGCUGUUGGACAGCCGGAGAAGCGCACGUAGAGCCACGGAGGUCUGGCGCGAUGAAUGGAGCGUUCAAGUCUUUGAUCCGGUCGUGUGGCCGUGCAGGAUGUCGCAUCGCACGAAAGAAGAAACCACCUUGAAUCAAUCUGUCUCGUUAGAUGUUGAUUAAACGUGGAUAGCAUAGAGAAAGUUACAGUGUGACUUUCCUAAGCAAAGUCACUGAAUUUGUGUCUGUUCGCGGGCAGGACUAUCAGACAAUGGGAGACAGACCAGCCCAGCAAUCCAAAUGGGCUAGGUCCAUUGUAUAGUUCAGUUACUGGCUCAUUUAACAUUCGCUAAUAUUACCAGCUCAAAGAAUAAAGAUCAAUGUUACUUUUUUUAUCACACUACUCGGCUCUAUGGCCUUUUAUUAAUAAACGAUAGCUGAACUGAACAGUGAGCUACAGGGAUAUUUACACGAUCAGUCCAUACUAGCAUCUAGCUCGGAUCCCAUACUUUAGCUAACUGGCAGCCUCAUGCGCAAAUGAGUUACAUGAGCAAAAGCCAAAAGAUUAAAACAAAAGUAGAAGCUAACGAAUAGCUUUGAAGAUCAUUCCGCUAAGACUGAGAUCUCUAUACAAGUUGAAAGCUUCCUUUAGUUGCGAGAGAUGCCAUAUUGAUCAGCAAAAGCGCCUUGAGACAGACUGUUGCUUCAACCAUUAGACUCUGUCAUGUGCUGUGUCCCACGUUUCACAUUCAAACGCGAAAGAUUUAAAAAAAAAAAAAUCAUUAAUUGGCAAAAGAUUUUGCAGAGGCCAUAUGGGAUUUUUUUUUCCAGCGGGAACGUUGUCACCAGCAUAAUACGUACUCGGAAAAGAAAACACUCUUUCAACUCGCUCAAAAUCCUCAUUUGAAAAGCCAUUUGCGCACAAACAAACAUAAAAAGGUGGCAAUAUUUUAAAAUAUAAUUAAACAAGCUGUCAUAGGGCAUUAUCAAAAUCACUCUAUCAAUAUAUAAAGAUAUAAAGAUACUAUUAUAGUUGAUCUUAGGCAAAUAAAAACAAGGUUGCCUGGGGCACAAAAUAAUAUACUAGCUGAGACAUCGCAUAAACACUGUAAACUCUGUCUUGCAAAGUUUCUAAACAUGGUCUGGUGGACAGAAACAUAUGAAACUUGAUUCAGAAAACCACAAUACGAGUGCACAACGAUUAUCAGUUCUUCCACGUCAAAACUACAGCGCACACUCAGAAGUGGAUAAUCUAGGUCAUCCGCUGAGCAGCCUCCUUGGCGAUCAGCUUUUCCCUAGCCUUGGUCUUGGCCUGCGACUUGGAGCCCAUGAUACCACCUCCCCACUUCUUCCUCACCUCAUCGAACUUGUCGUUGAAGUUUGCCUGCAGGGUGCAUUUUUAGAAUCACCUCAUCAGGGGAAGCAUAACUAAAGGGUAUCAAGAUUAUUCUGCAAUAUGUCAUAUUUUCAUACCUUAAUAGCCUCCAAGAUCUUGCUGAACUCAAGCUUGUCCUCGUUCUUGACAGUGGUCAGACACAAGACUGAUGCAGUCUUCUUGUGAACAAUCUGCAUACGAUUAAUACCAGAGUCAGCCUUAUUGUUUCAGAUACCACGAUAGAUAUAGCAAGUUCAGAACAGAUACCACAAUAGAUGUAGCAAGUUCAGAACAGCAUGGGUGUGAAACAUACCGAUCCAAGGCGAGCCUUUCCUUUAACAAUGCAGUAAGGGACCUCCAUCUUCCUGCACAGGGCUGGAAGCCACACAACCAGUUCAAUCGGAUCCACAUCAUGAGCGAUGACAACAAGCUGAGCCUUGUUCUGCACAAAUUCAUACAUUCAGUUGAUUACCAUUGAAGUUGCCAUAAAAGUAUUGCAUAGUGACUACACCCAGUAUUGAAGUCAUGAAACAAAGAAGUGCCAAGUCAUACCUGCUCAAUGAGGUAAGUCACAUGGUUAAGGCCAUACUUAACAACAAUUGGUUUCUUGGCUUCAACAGUUUUUCCUUCAGUCUCAGCCUGAGCCCUCUUCAGAAGCCUCUCCUUCUUGGCAGCCUUGUCUUCAGGCCGGUAUUUGAGAAGCAUCUUGAACAGGUUGGUAGCUGCAAACAUUUCACAUCAUAAAUUUUCAACACCAUAAUAUACAUUGACAAAUGAAUAGGUAGCUUAUACCAUUAUAGAAAGAAGAAAACAGAUAAGGUGUAAUUAAGUAACUGCAUAGUUCUAACGUAGCAGCCAGUUAACUUAAUCAAGAACACAUGAGUGCAUUCAGUGUCUUAUCAAUUCCCCUGAUAGGUGAGAUGGUAAUACAUCAUUCUUUAGUCUUUCAGUAAAUUAGAUGAAUGCUUAUCCACUAAUUUUAGCAGGAUGGUGUUCGAUCAUGUUUACAGGUGAAUAUCAGAGGCAUGACUAGACAUGCUUCUAGCCACUAUUAUGUCACAAUGUAACACUAAAUGAAUUUAGGCACACUGAUGAGAGGCCCGACCCUAAAAAACUCUUGCAAAGCCUCGUCACCUAAUUAAGGUUCCCAAAGAUGUAAAUGGCAAGCCUAAUGGCACUAUGGCCAAAAUAAUGCAAGACAACAGUAACUGGAACUUAUAAAGCAUAUUUGCAUACAUCAAACAGUUGGUUAUUAAUCUACUGUGCAAGUGAAAUAGAACAGGUUUCUGCAACAAAUCAAGACUUUGCAAUUGAAGGUGAUACUUCUACUAUUUCUUAGAAACCUAGCACUCUCAGUAAACAGGAGGAAUAAGUUCUGUUCAUACCGAGGUUCUUGUCGAGGGUGCGGGUGAACUGGUUGAGCGCCGGUGGCACCUUGAGGCGCUGCUUGAGGAUGCGGCGCUGGCGCUGGAUGCGGACGACCUUGGGCCACUUGACGAACCGGUGCAGGUCCUUCUUGGGCGGCAACGCGCCGCCGAUGCCGAACUGCUUCGGCCUCUUCUCGAACAGAGGGUUCACCACUUUAUCCUGCACCCAGCCAGACCCAACACAGUCAGAACACGCAUCCCAACCAUGGCGCCGCACACAUCUCGAGCAAGAACGCGGGAAAGCGCAAUACAUACCGUCUUCUUCUUGGCCGGCACAGGCGCCCUGCCACCUCGCUUCGGGGCCUGCAGAUUUGUAAGUCGAACUCUUAGCACAUUACAUGAAUCAUACAAAGAUAUGCAGCAAGUUAACAUCAUAAGCAUCAUAAGCAUGUGCCCCCAAGAUCCACGAAACAAGAUUGAAAUAUAACCAAAGAAUAUCCGAAACAUCCCAGGUUUUUUCCACAUGGAAGAGAUUGGAUCAAUGGAAAUCCGAAAGCACAAGCAGAAGAUAGGCGGCGAGACCGCACGCACCAUUUCGCCGGAGGGGAGCUUGGCGUUCCGAACGGGAGACGACGGCGGCGCGAGGUAGGGGGAGGAGGCGGCUAGAGGCGCUUGGAGGCGGAGAGGUGGUUCUAUAAAGGAUGACUCGCGCCGAGCUGGACGCACCCUGGCCGUCGGAUGCUAGGUGGACAAGCAAGCAUCCCGGUCUCGGCCGUCCGGUGCUGGGAUUAGGGUUUAGGCGAAGCCACUUGGGCCGCACACGAGAGAAAGGUAGGUGGGCCUCCAUGCGCUGGGCCGUUCGUAGUAUCCGUGGUUUCUGUUUGAGCCCAUUUGUUUGGCACUUUUCAUUUUUCAAAGAAAAUAGUCUAUUUUUCCUCCCCAACUUUCACGAAAGCCCGUUUUUCCUCCCUCAAUUCUAAAAUCGGGCAAAUCAUCUCUCUUAACUUUUUAAACCAUACAAUUUACCUCUCUUGAGCGGUUUUGAAGGCAGUUUUGCUACAGUGAAUAGUGGUUUACUACCGUAACUGUGGUUUGUAUUUUUAUUUUUAAAUUAUUUCGGGUGAAUCUUUGAAAAAUAUAGUAAAUCACAGAAAGAUUAUAAAAUAGAAAAUCUAAUUUUUUUAGGAGUUCAUAUAAGUAGAUCUAUAUAGUAAACAUAUAAUGGUAUGCUUUAGUACAAAGUUUUUGCUAUAAAGGUUUUGUCCUUUUAUUUUAUUUAUUUAUUUGGAUGAAUCUUUGAAAAAUCAUAGUAAAACAUAGAGAAAUCAUAAAAUAGAAAAUAUAAUUUUCUUAUACUCUAGUUUAUAGUAAGUUUAUGUGUUGCAGAGAGUCUCUAGUCUUUUGUUGUGUUUAUUAUCAAAAGUCAACCUGAGUGUGGCCUACUUGUCUACAAAACUGCAUUUGUGGUGUUAAUUUAUUGUGAAAAAAAUAUGUCAUGGCUGAAAAGUAGUGUCGAUAAGUUCAAGCGACCAGGGCGUAACAUCUCCUUCAAGCUUAUGUAUGUUGACUUUGUGGUUCAAUUGACAGGUUCUUCCCCUAAAAGAAAUUUGUAGACAGCUAUAUUUUUUUGUUAUUCCAUUAUUAGAGGUGUAACUUCUUAGAAGCAAUAUUAUUUCAUUAUGCAUUGACAUCUUUCAUACUGCUCUGUUUCUAUUGCUUUCUCUUCCUAAAACGUUUUCUGUGCAGCUGCUGAGGUAAUCACAAACUGAAUUAUGCCCGCAUUGUUACCAAAAAAAGCUCUUUUACAUAGUCUUCCUUCAGCUUUUUGAUGGAGCUAUAGCUAACAAAACAAGGUGUCUCCGAGCAUCCACCAACCUUUUGACUCUAGAAGAUUCAAUAUUAAAAAUAAGGAAGGGAGCAUCUCCUCAAAUUUUAAGUUGAUGCUAUCUCAUUGGCGGUCCAAGUGCUCCAAACGCUGAUGGGUAAUAAUUUAAACAAAAUUUAUUUAGAAAGACAAGAUUAAGCAACUGUAUCAAGGUCCAUAUCUGCAUAUUAUUCUCCUAUCUUGAUGUAGUGAAAACAUGUCUCUUACAAGUUACCAUUGCAAAGAUAAUACUUUUUCUACAUCUCUAAACUUAAUGCCUCUAGUUUUUUCUAUGAUCUUUGAUUAAUUGAGCUAGAAAAUUGACAAACUAUGUUGUAUUACAUGUAUUAAAGACAUUGGAGACAAUUUACCAAAAUGACAAUUCUAUGUUUGUCUUUGGAUGUUCAAAGAGUGUCACCUAUAUUUUUAUCUAAUUAUGUCAAUAUGGUACUGUAUAACUGAUUAGGUACAACCCCAUUAGCUUGUCUGAAAAUUUAUUGUUGAAAGUACUGUUCGCUGUUUUAUUGCGAGAGAAAAACACUACGGGAUGGCUGACAGAAUUCGGCUGAUAAGCUGUUUUCCAUGAUGUUUGAUUAAUUGAGCUAGAAAAUUGAUAAACUAUGUUGUAUUACAUGUAUACUCAGAAUGGAUAUAAAUUUUGUGAAGAAUAAUAAGUUUAUAUUGCCAUUUUUAUUUGUAAACUUUUUGUAAAAAUGAUGAACUGAUGCUCUAAUAUUUUGUUGUUAUUAAGUAUGUAAUAAGAAUCAUAGAAAACCAGAACUGGGGUAUCAGAACGAAGCAACCAAAUCAGGUGAAAUCAAAUGAAGCUGCUUGUAAUUGUAACAAGGACGGGAAACCUGCCUAGCAAUUGGGAAACCUGCCUAGCAGGCCCUGGGCGUCCAGCCAACUAAGCCUUGAAUUCUAGGAGACCUUUUACCAUUCCCAUUUUUUUCUCGGUCAAAACACCAAGAAUGUAGGACCUGUUUGGCAUAGCUCAACUUCACUAGUAAAGCUGUUUUUUUAGAAAAUAGCUUCCUGAGUGACUUUCUAGAUGAAGCUGAGCUGUUUUGGAAAAAGUGUUUGGCAAAAUAGCUUCAUAAACUACUUCAUGCAUAGUUGAGAGAGAGAGCUACAAUAAGCUACUUUUUUCAACUUUAUCCCAACUUAUGUCUUUGUGAGAGGAGGGUUCACCCAUAAAGCUGUUUUGGAAAUAAGUGUUUGACAAAAAAAAGCAACUCAUGAAGUUGUUGUGAGCUGUACCAAACAGUCUCGUAGUAUACAACUUGAAUUCAUUUUCUCUCUCUAAAUUAAUAUAAAAAGCUCAAGGUAAUGCAAUGUUUAAAAUAUUGACUCCUUUUAAGAUGAGACAUAAUCCUCUAUUUUGACAAAUUGAUAACAGCAUUGUAGCCUUGCUCUACAGGACGUAGCAUUUCUACUUCUAGGCUCUUGGAAUGUUCAACAUGUUCCUCAUGGCUAACAAAUUCUUCUUCGAAAUGAAUUUGUCACUAACAAAUUCUUCAUGUGAGGGCACAACAUACAUCAUAUAUACCACCAAUAUAUAUGCCAAUUGCCAUCAACAUGUCAAGAUUACUUAAGCACUCCUCAACAAAAGCUAGAGCGCAAGAACUCAUCAACUGCUACGACGCACGAACCAGCUAUGGCGGUUGGCAUCUACGUACAUGGUUUUGCACACGAUUCAUAUCAGUAUUCAGUACACAAGACUAUACUCAUCUCCCGUGCAGAUCGGCGUGAGAUCAAGCACCGUCGUCACCUGACCUCCUAGCUAUGCUAGGACCGGCCGACGAGGAGAGGCCGGGCGGGGACGAGCAGCCGGCCGUACGCGGAGUGGCCCCUGACAAGGCCGCACCUCGCCACGGUCGUCGCCGCCGCCUGGCCAGCCGCGUCCUCCUCCUCGAUCUGCUCCAGCACCCGCACGAAGGCGUCGGCGUCGCACGGCAGCGCGAGCGGGCCGGCGGCCGCGUACCCGAACACGUCCUCGGCCUCCUCCAGCAGCGCCCGAAACAGCGGGUGGUUCACGCACUCCGUCCGGACCAUGAAGCGCUGCCGCCCCGCGCCGACGCACACCGUGAAGCACCCCUCCGGCGCCGGCGCCGGCUUGCUCCUCCGCGCGCUGCGGCACCGGUCCAGCGUCUUCAUGAUGAGCCCCGCCGGCUUCCUUCCUUUCUCCGGCAUGGUAGUGGGCACGCGUCAAUCACAAGACUUGGGCACCUGGCUACUUAGCAAAGCUACAGCUAGCGAAAGGUGAAAUCAAUGUUAGUGGUCACAAGAAUGAGAAGGUGCGUGAGAGGAAUAUAUAUAUAUAUAUAUAUAUAUAUAUAUAUAUAUAUAUAUAUAUAUAUAUAUAUAUAUAUAUAUAUAUACACACACACACGUAGAGACAAGAUGUUUAGUGAACCUAGAGAGAGAAAGGGUCUUGAUCAAGAGGCUGUUUUUAUAUAUAAGGCCUUGUUUAGUUCCCAACAAAUUUUGCAAAAAUUUUCAAAUUUCCCAUCACAUGGAAUCUUAGACACAUGUAUGGAGUAUUAAAUAUAGACAAAAAUAAAAACUAAUUGCACAGUUUGAUCAAAAUUGACGAGACGAAUCUUUUAAGUCUAGUUAGUCCAUAAUUUGAUAUUAUUUAUCAAAUACAAACGAAAGUGCUACGGUGUCGAUUUCCCAAAAAAAUUUGAAACUAAACAAGGCCUAAGAUUAUUAGGGGCUCCAUGAGAGAGAGGGAGGCUCUAUAGUUGUUUACUAUACGUACACAAAUUGCAUAUAGAAUUGCACACUUCAACUUGUAGGUUGUAGCGCAUAGUACGUGCAUAGUAUAGUACAAUUGUUAGGGUACGGUUUGGCUGUUUCGGAAGGGUAAACAACUACACCAGGAGCCGAGCCGGAGCCGGAGAUAUAUAAUCCAUGCAACGCAUGAGUCAUGACAUCAAGCAUGGCCGACUCUCGAGAGGCCGGGGUCAGUUCAUGGCGCAUCAGCGCAAUAAUGCAGUACAUUAGCUAGAGGCAGGUUGACCCCUCUCGGACGCUGUGCGUGCAUGAUUGCCAUUAGUUUGGAGAGGUGUCGAACUCCCCCAACCACAGGGGUUGUUUAGCUUAAUUAGCAACCGUCUGCGCCUUCUCUGAUUUUCACCAACGCAACAAACGCUCCAAAACGUCAGCAUCCUUCUUGCAGAUUUGUUUUAUGGUUCCAGUAGUCCUUAGCCUUCAUCAUGACAACACACUCUACAGCCCUGUUUAGAUUCAAAAAUAUUUUGGAUUUUGUCACUGUAGCACUUUCAUUUUUAUCUGACAAACAUUAUUCAAUCAAAUUGGACAAAUAGUUUUUGUUUUUAAUAAUAUUUAAUGCUCCAUACAUAUAUCACAAAAUUCGAUGUGACGUGAAAUUUUGAAAAAAAAAUAGUUUUUGGAUGAAGUAAACAAGGCCUUGGCUGUCUUGUACUCUCUUUUUCGAGCAUUUCAAGUGCAUCAUUCACGCGUAAGGGAAACACUGCACUGAGUUUGGCUGCAGCAUCAUAUUCGUGCCUGCCGUAGGUACCAUGUUCAAAUCCGAGAGAAAAGACAAGACAAGAGAGCAGAGAGGUAACAAUCCUGAUGAACUUCUCAUGUUCAGCAAUCGGUUCACUUCUAUAGAAAACAUUUUUACAGGAGGUGCUAGAAGCAUCUUCAUAGGCAACCAAGCCCACCGUGAGUCACUACAAAAUAGAACAUAGUACAGGCUCAUCUAGUCAGCCGUCUGUGUACAUAUAUUUUUACAUAAGCGGCUGACUAGGUGAGCCACGUGUGAAAACCUAAUUUUCACAGGCGGCUCACACUCCACUGCCUGUGUAAAUAAUUUUUUAUAUAUAUUUUAAAUUUUAAUUUUUCCACCACACUACAGUGCUAAACAUCAUAUAUAUAUAUAUAUAUGGAAAUUCCUUUGUACACGUACGUGUAGUUACUCUCAUCUUUCAAUAAACUACAUUAUGUAUGUAUUCAUACUUGUUUAUCGGUUUGAGUAUGUUUAUAUAUUUAUAUUAAGAUACUAUAGAUCUUACCACGCGAAAACUUUUCAAAAAAAAUUAAAUGCCACUACUAUAUUAUAUACAAUAAGUAUAACCAUAUACUCUAUGUAUGUAUGUAUUUAUACUUAACAUACAUAUCACAUUAUAUGGUCUAGUAUGAUCAUAUACUUUGUCUAUAUAUAUUUUGUUCGGUCAUAUACAGCUUAAAUCUAGAGAUAUAUAGAUGAGAGUAACUACACGCGCGUGUAAAAAAAUGUGUCCUAUAUAGGGAAAUUGUCCCUAACGUAUCGUUCCCGCUGCCUUAUAAACUCACACACAUAGAACCCACAAUAGGCCGAUCCAGAUGGUUGCUCGUGGCACUAUAGAAUGAGCAACAGAUUAUUCUAAAAUUAUCAUGCCUUAUGUAUUCUUUAUAUGAUGAUAUGUGUUCGGACAACUUACCGGAUAGUGAUGUUGUAUCGUCAAUGGGACCCUAGGAUCUGAGCGUACGAAGUCGACCGGUCCUAUGUUUCUUAUAAAACCGCAAUGCCCUGUAGAUAUCGAAUAUAAAUCACUAAAGUUAUUUUAAAACUCUAAUAUAAUUCAUAUAGGUACGCAUGUGGUUGCAUGUUGGCUCACUUUCUAAUUGAACAAAAAAUGAUGAAUACUUCUCGGGAGGAAAAUAUAAGGAGUCUAGGACAAGCACCUUCCCUUCAAAGGGAUAAAUAUAAAAAAACAAUCCAAUGGUCACUGCAUGACUAAAUGAGUGAGCGACAUAUGUAUAUUGUUUACAUGAUAAUUUGAAGUACGUAUACGAAGUCAAGCUUACCUAAAGUUGUAAGAUGCUAAUAUGAAAUCUCUGUACUCAUACCUCAGCAUUGAUCUACCGAGAUAGAGGGCAUAAUCAUCCUCGUAUUUUCUUUGCAACUCUUUUAUAGCUUCUGCAACUUCUUCUGGUGUUUUGUCCUUCUCUACCUUUGCUCUAUCUUCCUUUGAUAGUACAAAUUUGUACAUAUUUUCUUGUAACUUGAUAGGGCUCAGAUAACCGACCAUCGAUCCAGUAGAUAAUAAUGACCUCUACUCGUGAUCUUGCAAACUACAGACAACAUCCACAUAGUAGAGUUUCACAGUACAUAUUAAUAAUAAAUGUGUGUGCAUGAGUGAUACUUAUAGGUACCAGAUUGUUAUGAGUUGGACGUCAAGUCAGCCUAUAGUUCAACAACAAGUGCAUGUCCUAGAAGGUAACAAAUGCCUUGCUUUUUUCCUUGCCAGCAGCAAACACGUCUGCUGGUAUAUCAACACUGAUUGUAUGGAUGCCACCAUGUGCUGCUCUCAUAUACCAGUCAUAAAACCUGUUUAUCGUCUAUUGAAUCUUAUCGAGCAGCAUCCAUGGGAGCAUAGGACUUCCGGCACAUAGUCAUUGGGACAUUGACAUAAUCAUCAAUCAUUGGCUUUCUGAUAUCCUUUAGGGUCAAUGGUUGACUUGAUGGCUGUUCGACAUGUACAUUGUAACUUGGAGCUUCUGUUGAUGGGGGCACGACUUCUGUUGACACGGCGGUGGCUUCCUUUUCCUUUGACGGUUUGAGCACAACGAGUUGUGUCGUUCGUUGCUUUCUAAGUCCUUUUAGAAAGAGAGUUGUGCCAGUUGCUUUCUCCUUUUUUUGGCUCAAAGGGAGAAAUCAAUUUUGAAAUUGGAAAUUUCUUGACCUUCUUGGAGGCCGGUGCUAAUGCGGGAGUUUGCUCAUCUUCCUUCUGCUUUGGUGGUGGAAUUUGCUCAUCCUCCUUCUCCCUUGUUGUGUCCUCCUUGGAUGGCAGAGUCUGCUGCUCACGCAUGUUCUCCUUGGCUGGCCCCUCAAGCUCAUUCAGCGAGGAUGCCAACUCAUGUAUUGGGGGAGGUUGGCGGUGACUCGUAAAUGUAUGGAGAUGCUGGAGCAUGUAUUGGUGAUGGUGGCUAUUGAUAUGUUUCGGCCGCUUGGGAUGGUUGAGGCACUAUGCUUGGAGAGGGUGGCGCUGGUGGAUCAAUCAACCUGAUGUACCGUCUCGGCCAUUGUAUGAAGUUGUUGAUUGCUUGUCUAAGCUUCUCUAUACCCUCAGAGGUCGGGAUGUCUAUAAAGUCGUCUUCAUAUCCACUCUCGAGCGUCAACACUUCCACCCUAUAGUAUGCAUCUUGCAUGUCGACGGUAUGAAAUCUACGUCCUGGGAUAGCAUUACCUGUGGCCACUUGCUUUGUAUGCUGAUUCUUAAGACCAUAGGAUAUGACCAAGGAGCAAGGCCAAGGUCUAUCAAUAUCAUCAAGCUAGGCCACUGCGCAUCCGGCGUUGUGACUCUCUCCUGCACUAGUAUGUGCCUGCGCAGCCACCACCGUCGCCGUUUGAGACAUGGACGUCGCAUGGAUGACGAUCAAGCUAGGCCUAUGUUGUUGGACGGCCGGAGAAGCGCACGUAGAGGCACGGAAGUCUGGCGCGAUGAAUGGAGCGUUCAAGUCUUUGAUCCGGUCAUGCGGCCGUGCGGGAUGUUGCCUCACAUGAAAGAAGAAACCACCUUGAAUCAAUCUGUCUCGUUAGAUGUUGGUUGAACGAUGGAUAGCAUAGAGAAAGUUACAGCGUGACUUUCCUAAGCAAAGCAUAUCCGUUCGGGGGCGGGGCUGUUGGGCAAUGGGAGACAGACCAGCCCAGCAAUCCAAAUGGACUAGGUCCAUUGUCUAGUUCAGUUAGUGGCUCAUUUAACAUUCGCUAAUAAACGAUAGCUCAACUGAAUCAUGAGCCACAGCGAUAUUUAGACGAUCCGCCCAUACUAGCAUCUAGCUCGAAUCUCUUGAAUCUCAUACUUUAGCUAACUGAGUAGCCUCAGAGUAGCCUCAUGGGCAGAUGAGUUACAUGAGCAAAAGCCAAAAGAUUAAAACAAAAGUAGGAGCUAGCUAUGACCGAGAUCUCUAGAACAAGUUGAUAGCGUCCUCUAAUUGUUUUGAAUUUGUUUACAAUUCAAUGCGAGAGAUGCUAUAUUAAUCAGCAAACUCCAGCGGCCUUAAGGCACACUGUUGCUUCAACCAUUAGAGUGUCAUGUGCUGUGUCCCACGUUUCCAGCUCCAGCCAACGCAACACCACCCCAUUCACACGCGAAAGAUUUAAAAAGAACUCAUUAAUCGGCAAAAGAUUUUGCGGAGGGCAUAUGGGAUUUUUUUUUUUCGAGCGGGAUCGUUGUCACCAGCAUAAUACGUCCUCGGAAAAGAAAACAUUUCCAGUGCUUAAGCAAGUCCCUUUCAACUCGCUCUAAAUCCUCAUUUUAAAAGCCAUUUGCGCAGAAACCAUAAAAAGGUGGCAAUAUUUUAAAAUAUAAUUAAACAACCUGUUAUAGGGCAUUAACAAAAUCUCUCUAUCAAUAUAUAAAGAUAUAAAGAUACUAUUAUAGUUGAUCUUAGGCAAAUAAAAACAAGGUUGCCUGGGGCGCAAAAUAAUAUACUAGCUGAGACAUCGCAUAAACACUGUAACAUCUGUCUUGCAAAGUUUCUAAACAUGGUCUGGUGGACAGAAACAUAUGAAACUUGAUUCAGAAAACCACAAUACGAGUGCACAACGAUUAUCAGUUCUUCCGCGUCAAACUACAGGGCACACUCAGAAGUGGAUAAUCUAGGUCAUCCGCUGAGCAGCCUCCUUGGCGAUCAGCUUUUCCCUAGCCUUGGUCUUGGCCUGCGACUUGGAGCCCAUGAUACCACCUCCCCACUUCUUCCUCACCUCAUCGAACUUGUCGUUGAAGUUUGCCUGCAGGGUGCAUUUUCAGAAUCACCUCAUCAGGGGAAGCAUAACUAAAGGGUAUCAAGAUUAUUCUGCAAUAUGUCAUAUUUUCAUACCUUAAUAGCCUCCAAGAUCUUGCUGAACUCAAGCUUGUCCUCGUUCUUGACAGUGGUCAGACACAAGACUGAUGCAGUCUUCUUGUGAACAAUCUGCAUACGAUUAAUACCAGAGUCAGCCUUAUUGUUUCAGAUACCACGAUAGAUAUAGCAAGUUCAGAACAGAUACCACAAUAGAUGUAGCAAGUUCAGAACAGCAUGGGUGUGAAACAUACCGAUCCAAGGCGAGCCUUUCCUUUAACAAUGCAGUAAGGGACCUCCAUCUUCCUGCACAGGGCUGGAAGCCACACAACCAGUUCAAUCGGAUCCACAUCAUGAGCGAUGACAACAAGCUGAGCCUUGUUCUGCACAAAUUCAUACAUUCAGUUAAUUACCAUUGAAGUUGCCACAAAAGUAUUGCAUAGUGACUACACCCAGUAUUGAAGUCAUGAAACAAAGAAGUGCCAAGUCAUACCUGCUCAAUGAGGUAAGUCACAUGGUUAAGGCCAUACUUAACAACAAUUGGUUUCUUGGCUUCAACAGUUUUUCCUUCAGUCUCAGCCUGAGCCCUCUUCAGAAGCCUCUCCUUCUUGGCAGCCUUGUCUUCAGGCCGGUAUUUGAGAAGCAUCUUGAAAAGGUUGGUAGCUGCAAACAUUUCACAUCAUAAAUUUUCAACACCAUAAUAUACAUUGACAAAUGAAUAGGUAGCUUAUACCAUUAUAGAAUGAAGAAAACAGAUAAGGUGUAAUUCAAGUAACUGCAUAGUUCUAACGUAGCAGCCAGUUAACUUAAUCAAGAACACAUGAGUGCAUUCAGUGUCUUAUCAGUUACCCUGAUAGGUGACAUGGUAAUACAUCAUUCUUUAGUCUUUCAGUAAAUUAGAUGAAUGCUUAUCCACUAAUUUUAGCAGGAUGGUGUUCGAUCAUGUUUACAGGUGAAUAUCAGAAGCAUGACUAGACAUGCUCUAGCCACUAUUAUGUCACAAUGUAACACUGAUGAAUUUAGGCACACUGAUGAGAGGCCCGACCCUAAAAAACUCUUGGAAAGCCUCGGCCUAAUUAAGGUUCACAAACAUGUAAAUGGCAAGCCUAAUGCACUAUGGCGAAAAUAAUGCAAGACAACAGUACCUGGAACUUAUAAUGUAUAUUUGCAUACAUCAAACAGUUGGUUAUUAAUCUACUGUGCAAGUGAAAUAGAACAGGUUUCUACAACAAAUCAAGACCUUGCAAUUGAAGGCGAUACUUCUACUAUUUCUUAGAAACCUAGCACUCUCAGUAAACAGGACGAAUAAGUUCUGUUCAUACCGAGGUUCUUGUCGAGGGUGCGGGUGAACUGGUUGAGCGCCGGUGGCACCUUGAGGCGCUGCUUGAGGAUGCGGCGCUGGCGCUGGAUGCGCACGACCUUGGGCCACUUGACGAACCGGUGCAGGUCCUUCUUGGGCGGCAACGCGCCGCCGAUGCCGAACUGCUUCGGCCUCUUCUCGAACAGAGGGUUCACCACUUUAUCCUGCACCCAGCCAGACCCAACACAGUCAGACCACGCAUUCCAGCCAUGGCGCCGCACGCAUCUCGAGCAAGAACGCGGGAAAGCGCAAUACAUACCGUCUUCUUCUUGGCCGGCACAGGCGCCCUGCCACCUCGCUUCGGGGCCUGCAGAUUUGUAAGUCGAACUCUUAGCACAUUACAUGAAUCAUACGCAGAUAUGCAGCAAGUUAACAUCCGAAAAUUACAAGAACAUAAGCAUCAUAAGCAUGUGCGCCCAAGAUCCACGAAACAAGAUUGAAAUAUAACCGAAGAAUAUCCGAAAAACCCCAGGUUUUUUCCACGUGGAAGAGAUUGGAUCAAUGGGAAUCCGAAAGCACAAGCAGAAGAUAGGCGGCGAGACCGCACGCACCAUUUCGCCGGAUGGGAGCUUGGCGUUCCGAACGGGAGACGACGGCGACGCGAGGGAGGGGGAGGCGGCGGCGACUGGCGCCUGGAAGCGGAGAGGUGGUUCUAUAAAGGCUGACUCGCGCCGAGCUGGACGCGCCCUGGCCGUCGGAUGCGAAGUGGAGAAGCAAGCGGUCUCGGCCGUCCGGUGCCGGGAUUAGGGUUUAGGCGAAGCCACUUGGGCCGCACCACGCGAGAAAGGUAGGUGGGCCUCUAUGGUCUGGGCCGUUUGUUGUAGCCGUGGUUUGUUGUAUCCGUGGUUUCGUGGUUUCUGUUUGAGCCCAUUUGUUUGGUACUUUUCAUUUUUCAUAGGAAAAAGUCUAUUUUUCAAAUGAAAAAGCCUCCCAACUUUCACGAAAGUCCAUUUUUCACCCCUCCAUUCUAAAACCGGAUAAAUCACCUCAUUUAACUUUUCAAACCAUGUAUUUUACAUCUCUGGAGCGGUUUUCAAGGCAUUUUUGCUACAGUAAAUAGUGGUUUGCUACAGUAACGUUGGUUUGUCUUUUUAUUUUUAAUUAUUUCGGCUAAAUUUUUGAAAAAUCAUAGUAAAUCACAGAAAAAUUAAAAAAUUGAAAAUCUAUUUUUUUGGAGUCCACAUAGGUAGAUCUACAUAGUAAACAUAUAAUAUGGUAUGCUUUAGUACAAAGUUUUUGCUAUAAAGGUUUUGUCCUAUUAUUUUAUUUAUUUAUUGGAUGAAUCUUUGAAAAAUCAUAGUAAAACAUAGAGAAAUCAUAAAAUAGAAAAUAUAAUUUUCUUAGACUCUAGUUUAUAUUAAGAGUAUGUGUUGCAGGGAGUCUCUAGUCUUUUGUUGUGUUUAUUACCAAAAGUCAACCUGAGUGUGGCCUACUUGUCUGCAAAACUGCAUCUGUGGUGUGAAUUUAUUGUGAAAAAAAACUAUGUCAUGACUGAAAAGUAGUGUCGAUAUGUUCAAGCGACCAGGGCAUAACAUCUCCUUCAAGCUUAUGUAUGUUGACUUUGUGGUUCAAUUGACAGGUUCUUCCCCAAAAAGAAAUUUGUAGACAGCUAUAUAUUUUUUUGUUAUUCCAUUAUUAGAGGUGUAACUUCUUAGAAGCAAUAUUAUUUUAUUAUGCAUUGACAUCUUUCAUACUGCCCUGUUUCUCUUGCUUUCUCUUCCUAAAACAUUUUCUGUGCAGCUGCUGAGGUAAUCAUAAACUGAAUUAUGCCCGCAUUGUUACCAAAAAAGCUAUUUUACAUAGUCUUCCUUUAGCUUUUUGAUGGAGCUAUAGCUAACAAAACAAGGUGUCUCCGAGCAUCCACCAACCUUUUGACUCCAGAAGAUUCAAUAUUAAAAAUGAUGAAGGGAGCAUCUCCUCAAAUUUUAAGUUGAUGCUAUUUCACUGGCGGUCCAAGUGCUCCAAAGGAUGAUGGGUAAUAAUUUAAACAAAAUUAAUUUAGAAAGACAAUGAUGAAGCAACUGUAUCAAGGUCCAUAUCUCCAUAUUAUUCUCCUAUCUUGAUGUAGUGAAAAUAUGUCUCUUACAAGUUACAAUUGCAAAGAUAAUACUUUUUUUACAUCUCUAAACUUAAUGCCUCUAGUUUUUCCAUGACGUUUGAUUAAUUGAGCUUGAAAAUUGACAAACUAUGUUGUAUUACAUGUAUUAAAGACAUUGGAGACAAUUUACCAAAAUGACAAUUCUAUGUUUGUCUUUGGAUGUUCAAAGAGUGUCACCUAUAUUUUAUCUAAUUAUGUCAAUAUGGUAUUGUAUAACUAAAUAGGUACAGCCCCGUUAGCUUGUCUGAAAAGUCAUGGUUGAAAGUACCGUCCGAUGAUUUAUUGUGAGAGAAAAACACUAUGGGAUGGUUAUCCGCUGAUUUGUUGUGAGAGAAAAACACAACGGGAUGGCUGACAGAAUUUGGCUGAUAAGCUGAAGCGAACAGGGUGUACUCAGAAUGGAUGUAAAUUUUUUGAAGAAUAAUCAGUUCAUAUUGCUAUUUUUAUUUGUAAACUUUUUGUGAAAAUGAUGAACUGAUGCUCUAAUAUUUUGUUGUUAUUAAGUAUGUAACAAGAAUCAAAGAAAACUAGAAUUGGGGCAUCUAGGACUUAUCAGAAUGAAGCAACCAAAUCAGGUGAAAUCAAAUGAAGCUGUUUGUGAUUGUAACAAAGCAAACUCUGGACGGUCCGAGAAACCUGCCUAGCAAUUGGGAAACCUGCCUAGCAGGCCCUGGGCGUCCAGCCAACUAAGGGGCUGUUUGGUUCGCUUACUACUAGAGCCUGGUUGGUAUAUGGGAGCCAGGCUCACAUAAGACAGGCCAAGUCCAUGCAACCUGCUGUGUUUGGUUUAGUGUAUCGACUUAACCUGACUGAAAAAAAAUGUUGUUUGGUUGCUUGUCCGAAGAUAUGUCGUAUGAGAUAAAAAAUAUUAUAAGGUUAUGAUUAUGAUUUUUAUUUUAUGAAAAUACACUUCUAAAGUACUUAUUUUAUCUAACUACGUGUUAAACAUCUUUAAAACAUCUUAUAUCGCUUAAUAUUCACUAAUCAUACACUAAUACCAUCAUUAGGAAAGAAACAGCUGCAUCCAGCCAACCAGGCUCGCUAAGAACGGCCGAUUUGCUCGUUUCUGUGGAGCCUGGCUGCGGGGAUGGCUGCUGCAUGCAUAGAGCCUGGCUCAACCAGGCGAGCAGGCAACCAAACAGUCUCCGGCUUCAGCCGGAUGCAGGGAACCAAACAGGCCCUAAGCCUUGAAUUUUAGGAGACUUUUUACCAUUCCCAUUUUUCCUCGGUCAAAACACCAAGAAUGUAGUAUACAACUUGAAUUCAUUUCCUCUCUCUAAAUUAAUAUAAAAAGUUCAAAGUAAUGCAAUGUUUAAAAUAUUGACUCCUUUUAAGAUGAGACAUAAUCCUCUAUUUUGACAAAUUGAUAACAGCAUUGUAGCCUUGCUCUACAGGACGUAGCAUUUCUACUUCUAGGCUCUUGGAAUGUUCAACAUGUUCCUCAUGGCUAACAAAUUCUUCAUCGAAAUGAAUUUGUCACUAACAAAUUCUUCAUGUGAGGGCACAAACAUAGUACAUCAUAUAUACCACCAAUAUAUAUGCCAAUUGCCAUAAACAUGUCAAGAUUACUUAAGCACUCCUCAACAAAAGCUAGAGCGCAAGAACUCAUCAACUGCUACGACGCACGAACCACCUAUGGCGGUUGGCAUCUACGUACAUGGUUUUGCACACGAUUCAUAUCAGUAUUCAGUACACAAGACUAUACUCAUCUCCCGUGCAGAUCGGCGUGAGAUCAAGCACCGUCGUCACCUGACCUCCUAGCUAUGCUAGGACCGGCCGACGAGGAGAGGCCGGGCGGGGACGAGCAGCCGGCCGUACGCGGAGUGGCCCCUGACAAGGCCGCACCUCGCCACGGUCGUCGCCGCCGCCUGGCCAGCCGCGUCCUCCUCCUCGAUCUGCUCCAGCACCCGCACGAAGGCGUCGGCGUCGCACGGCAGCGCGAGCGGGCCGGCGGCCGCGUACCCGAACACCUCCUCGGCCUCCUCCAGCAGCGCCCGGAACAGCGGGUGGUUCACGCACUCCGUCCGGACCAUGAAGCGCUGCCGCCCCGCGCCGACGCACACCGUGAAGCACCCCUCCGGCGCCGGCGCCGGCUUGCUCCUCCGCGCGCUGCGGCACCGGUCCAGCGUCUUCAUGAUGAGCCCCGCCGGCUUCCUUCCUUUCUCCGGCAUGGUAUAGUGGGCACGCGUCAAUCACAAGACUUGAGCACCUGGCUACUUAGCAAAGCUACAGCUAGCAAAAGGUGAAAUCAAUGUUAGUGGUCACAAGGAUGAGGAAGGUGCGUGAGAGGAAUAUAUAUACGUAGAGACAAGAUGUUUAGUGAACCUAGAGAGAGAAAGGGUCUUGAUCAAGAGGCUGUUUUUAUAUAAGAUUAGCUACUAGGGGCUCCAUGAGAGAGAGAGGGAGGCUCUAUACUUGUUUAGUACAUGUACACAAUAAUUGCAUAUAGAAUUGCACACUUCGACUUGUAGCGCGUAGUACGUGCAUAUAUAUUACAAUUGUUAGGGUACGGUUUGGCUGUUUUGGAAGGGUAAACAACUGCAGCAGGAGCCGGAGCCGGAGAUAAUCCAUGCAACGCAUGAGUAUGAGUCAUGACAUCAAGCAUGGCCGACUCUCGAGAGGCCGGGGCCAGUUCAUGGCGUCAGCGCUAUAAUAAUGCAGUAGAUUUAGAGCCAGAUUUGAACCUCUCUGACGCUGUGUGUGCAUGAUUGCAAUUAGUUUGGAGGUGUCGAACUCCCCAACCACACAAAGGGUUGUUUAGCUUAAUUAGCAACCGUCUGCCUUCUCUGAUUCACCAACGCAACAAAACGCUCCAAAACGUCAGCUUCCUUCUUGCAGAUUUGUUUUAUUGUUCCAGUAGCCCUUGGGCUUCAUCAUGACACAACAACACACUCUACAGCGUUCAACACCUGGAACCAAAAUGCAGGCAUGAUUCUUGAAGCCCUUCAGUCUUCUUGGCUGUCUUGUACUCUUUUUAAUUUCGAGCAUUUCAAUUGCAUUAUUCACGCGUACGGGAAAGAUUGCACUGAGGCUUUAUUUACAUGUGAAAUUUUUUUAGAUUUUGAUUCUGUAGCAAUUUUGUUUUUAUUUGACAAACAUUAUCUAAUCAUAGAUUAACUAGGUUUAAAAGAUUCGUCUCGCGAUUUACAGACGAACUGUGUAAUUAGUUUUUGUUUUUAUCUAUAUUUACUGCUUGAUUAAUGUGCCGUAAGAUUUAAUUUGAUAGAAAAUUUUGAAAAAAUUUUGGUUCUGGGGUGAACUAAACAAGGCGUGAGUUUGGCUGCUCCAGCAUCAUGCAUAUUCGUGCCUGCCGUAGGUACCAUGUUCGAGUCCGGGAGAAAAGACAAGACAAGAGAGGUAACAAUCCUGAUGAACUUCUCAUGUUCAGCAAUCGGUUACAACGGUGUCACUUGUACCUACCCCGUGUCACAUGCGCAUUGGGUAACGCCCCUGCUUUUGGCACGGCGACGAACCAGACUUUUGUAGUUCCAUAACUCCAUUGCAGAAUCCACACCAAUCAUAUACCCCGCUUUGUGUGUACACUGUACACCCAUGACCCAACGGCCACACGCCAUCAGUAUGAACUGAUCCAAACAGAAACAGGAUGGCCCUUUGACAGUUGACAGUACACCUUGUUCAUGUGUGAGUAUUGUCAAGCAUAAUAAUAAAUAUUAAAUAAUCGAACUUUCUUCUCAAUUUUCCAUAUAUGUUUGCCGACCUAUAUUCAUAGUUUUCCCUUUUCAACUGCAGUAGUGCAUUCAAUAUAUGCUUACUUGAAACCUUUUCUUGAGCUAUGUCAUUUCUUAUUGCAGCUCAUUUGCAGUUACUUUAUGAAUCCAAACUUUUGUCACUCCAAUUUGUAACAGUUUUCUCUGUCUAUCAAGUUGAAACUUAGCCAGUGAAAGGGCCUAUAGUUUAGUGGUUACAAGAGUCUUAGUGGCACCUAAGUUCAGAGUUUAACUCCUUGUGGGAGCGAAUAUUUCAUGAUUUAACAACAUUAUGCUUUAAGUGGUAGGCGACAUUCCCGUUGAUCCUCACUCUCAAGUAUUUGUCAAUUCAGUCUUCAAAGAUGCUCAUCUCGACAAUGGAAAUGGAUUUGAUAGGAAUUGGAUUUGCACUUUAAAAACAUAAAUAUAUGUAAUGAGAACUCAGAUAUCCUAUACCUUCCAUGAUAAAUUUUGAUUCUUUUCCACUUCUAGAGCUAAAUAAUGGUCUUUCUUAUUUACUAGCGAGUAUAUAUCAAAACCAAUUUGUUAAACAAGCAUUGUUUAAUGUUAUCUUACAACUAAUGUCAAUGAAAACAUUAAAAUCAUUAUAUGGAACAAUUAUCAUGUUAGUAUUUUAACAAGAUGUCAAUGAAUUAAAAUAUAACUCUAUUUUUUCCUACUUUUGAAUUAUAUUGUUCUAGAUUUUAUGUCAAUGGAUAAAACAAAUAUGAACUUGGCGUUUUACCAAAUUAUGAAGCUAAUAUUACGAAUUAAAUAUUGGGUUUAAUGAAUACAAAUAUACAAACUUAACUUUUCUAAUUCCUAAAUAUCAUAUUUGCUUUAAAAUCCUUAAAAACUAAUCCAAACUGAAAGCAUCUAGACCCCUAAGUCGGUUUUAGCAAUUAACGAUGAGACAAUCAUUGCGACCAAUGUGUGCUUUGCAGCGGCAUUACUUUAAUGAGGUCACAAAUGAUGUUAAUUGAUUGUGCAAACAUGGUUUUCAUGUCCUUAUUGAUGGUAUUCAUUUGGGUCCUCAAAAGAUGAGCGUGAAGAUUAAGGAUCAACUAGCUCUAAAGUGUGAAUGGUGUUGAGGGAUACUUAGAUUAAUGAAGAUCUUUGUUUUUUCUUUGGCCGUACUAUAAAUGUGGUAUGAAUGGGUAGCCUGACCUAGUUAAGUUUAAGUCUAGCAAGUGGUGGUGGUGCAUACUUAUGAAAAUUAGUGCUAGGUAGCUCAAAUAAAAGCCCAAGUUAUAGGUUGGAGACAAAAGUCAAAUUUCAACUCAAAGAUAUGUUGGAAGAGGUGCUGUUUUUUUUGGCUGAACCUUCAAAUAGAAGAUCUAAAGGCCUUGUAUUUUGAGUAUUGUAGCAUUUUCGUUUGUAUUUGACAAUUAUUGUCGAACCAUGGACUAACUAGACUUAAAAGAUUCGUCUCGCAGGUAAACUGUGUAAUUAGUUUUUUUUUCAUCUAUAUUUAGGCCUUGUUUACUUGCAAAAAAAAUUGCAAAAUGUGAACAGUAGCACUUUCGUUUGUAUUUGAUAAAUAUUGUCUAAUCAUAGGCUAACUAGGCCCAAAAGAUUCGUCUCUCAAAUUACAUGCAAACUGUGUAAUUAGUUAUCUUUUUUAUCUUUAUUUAAUGCUCUAUGCAUGUGCCGCAAGAUUCGAUGUGACGUGGAAUCUGAAACAUUUUGCAAAAAUAUUUAGGGAAGUAAACAAGGCCUUAAUGCUCUAUGCAUGUGCUGCAAGAUUUAAUGUGACGGAAAAUCUUAAAAAGUUUUUGAGUUUUGGAGAAAACUAAACAAGGGCUAACAAGUACCUUUGCCAGUUUGCCACUACUAAAUAUCAGACCACAUGUUCAUCAGUUCAUGAGCACAAUGAACUAGAUGGCAGCACCAGCACUAGCAUCAGUUACGUGUGGCACGGAGGUCAAACUAACAUGGGAUGGGACCAAAUAUCACACGACCUCUGAUCAUCAGUUUCUCAUCACUAAUACAGAGAAUCUAAAAAAAAUCUUGGCAAAGAAGGCUAAAACAUCUCAUAUAUUGACAAAGCUUCUUCGCUCAUGGAUUUCAAGGCCGAGAGGCCGGUUCUUGGGAAGGCGGGAAGCGGUAGAACGGCGGCGGUGGCGCCGGCGCCGGCUCGUAGAGCGGGAAUGGCAAGAACGGUGGCCGCAGGAACGGCACGAGCCAGUCCGGCACCGGGAACGGCCACGGGAACGACACCGUCCCGCCGGCGCCGCCGCCCGGGACCCGGAACGGUGGCCAGAAGAGCGGCAAGAACGGCCAGAAGAAAAGCGAGGAGCCGAACGCGUCGCCCCCGUCGUCCCCGUGACCGUGGCCGUGGCAGAGCGCGCCGUCCCGUUUGGCGGGGCGGAAGUUGAGCGCGUUGAGGUUGAGGAAGCAGGCGCUGGUGGCGCGGGAGCGGAGCGCGAUGUGCUGCGUGGAGUCGCCGAGGCCCGGGACGUUGCAGGCGGCGGAGGAGCUCCGGACCAGAGUGGCGCGGCACGCCGACCGGACCUCGUGGCCCUCGCGGCACUCGAAGCCGUCCACGGGGGGCACGUCCAGCUUGUACACGCCGUGCUGGUCGGUGGUGCGCUCCGCUUCCAGGGACAGCUCCUCGGACGACGUCGAGUUCACCUUGAAGCUGCACUUGAUCAGCACCUUGGCUCCUGCACGCACCAUUUAUCACCGUCAGCCCAAUAAUGUUUUGAGCUAAUUAUUGACAGAUACUCAGAAAUCAGGGAUGGUAACAGUAGAAUACGUGCAUAAUCGGCAUUCCUUCUGAGCACAUACAAAACUGAAAACCACGCCAUGGCCACAAAGUGUAAAAUUCACCACUGAUUCUAUUGUUUUCCUUCCAAAAAACAGAGAUUUAUUAGAGUUUAUAUGUAUCUAUAUAGAAUCUAAAAGUGAACAAUUGGAUUACUGAUUACAUGGGCUUAUUAGUACAAUGUUUAGUUAAAUGUAAAGAUGAAGCCAUGGUGCCAGCUGGGCUUCCAGAAUCUGAGGUGAGGCGUUGGCAAUCUAGUGCAGAACUUCUGGUCAUAGGCACGCCAGGCUUUGAUGACAAUUCAUAUGCACAAAUGUACUGAAUGUCUGAAUUCUGAAGGUCUCUAGUCUAUGGUGAUUGGUGACUGGUAUAAAACCCAAUUACUCAGUGAGGCACAUUUCAGCUCGAGGCAGUAUUAUCUAUAAAUCCCAGUGCAUAAUGAAUUCGGGGAACUCAUGAUGUUCAGAAUAGAUGAAGUAAAUACGCAAUGAAGAGUGACGGUGCUUGUCACUGAAAAACAAAACAAAACUGUGAAUUCGAUCUCUACUUCUACUUGUACUACAUCGCAAUGGCAAAUGAGCUCAUCCAGGUAACUGAAGUAAUUGGGGAAUUGACAAUUUUUAUGAGAGACACGUAUGCCAAUAAUCUUCAAGUGGGCCUGGGAGGAAACUUCGGUUACCGAAACACCCUGUACAAAGGAUGAGCCAAAAGCCCAAAAGCUAAACUACAAUUGCCCUUAUGAGAGUGGAGGCAGAAAUGAGCCAAACCAAAGAACAAGUCAUAUGCCCAUAUUUGUCAAACCAAGUUUGUCCUGAUUUAGCCACAUAGCAGAUGGAUACCAAAAUGUUUAUUACCUCCUCAGUACAUUGAAAAUUUUCUUGUGGCAAUGCUGAUAACUAAAGGGCACUGUAACACUUGAACAACUCAGCACACUUGCGUAUCAGUUUCUUGUUGCUUAUUAAAAAAAGAAAAAAUUGUAAAAGAAAAAGAGGACAGGAAAAAGAUACUGAUCCUCCUAAAAUGUGCCAAUGUAAGAACAUGUAAAUCUACAGCAGAGAACAGCACGGAAUGAACAAUCUGAUGUAAAAAAAUGUUUCUCUAGCACAUUUCAGAGCUAAGCAGUCUUCUGCUACAAUGCAGCAUCUUUUGUUUUUUAAAAAAAAGUUGCUACCAUUAUUGGGGGUAAAAAAAGCAAUGCACGAGGCAACGAUCAAGGCCGUUAAUGUCAAUGCAGAAACUGCAUAACUGAUAGCAUCUGCACUCACCUUUCAAGAAGAAGCUAUGCUUGGAGAAGGUAUUGUUGGAGCAGGCGUCGCAGUACACGGAGCCAACGACGGUGAUGUUGUUGGGCCGCAGAAACUUGGCCUCCGCGCCACUGAGCAUCAUCAGCACCAGCGCCGCCAGGAGCACGGCGGCCGGAGUCGCCAUCACCGCCAUGGGGCUGCUGCUCGCCAUUGCGGCCAUGGGCUAGCUCGGAAUAGUCGAAGGGGGCAAUGGAGUAGUCCAGAUUGGAGAUAGAAGGAGAGAGAAGGAGGCGGGGCGGUGAGGCGGAAGCGAACAAGCGCAUGUGAACCGGGCUCUCUUGGACGGGCGUGUGGUUGUGAGACAUGGAGAAGAUGGUCAGGCACUACUGCUUCUGGUGUGUGGUCUCCUCUUUACCUUUAUUUACUGGGCCCAUUGGCAAGUGAAACGGCAAUGAGGAAAUGAUACAUGCGAAUAUACAGUUUUAGUUUUGUUACUCGGAUCAUUAACCUUAUUUGCUGGAAAGCAUUUCCCAAAUAAGCUAUACAAAUGAAGUAAAAGUACACUCGCAAAAAAAAUGAAGUAAAAGUAGAGACUGUUGGCUGAUAAGCCAUGGCACUGUUGGCUCAUUUAUAGUAAAAAAAUAUUAUUGAAUGACUGAUAGAUUCGGCUGAUAAGCUCAGGCUGUAUCUGACUAGUUUAUAGAGUACUUCUUAGUUCAAAUGAGAGCGGUGAAAAUAAGUGCGGCCAGAAUAAGUUGUUUAACUAUUGAUUUUAGUUUAUUUUGACCAUCAGUAAUUUUAUAAGCUGUAUGUUCCUUUGGCUGCUGGAAAUACUGUUCGUUACUUUGUUAUAAGAGAAAAAAAAAUAUUAUUUAAAUAAUUAAUAGAUUUGAAAGAUAAGUUUAAGAUAAGCUCAAGCGAAUAGUGGUGUCUGCUUAAGCCAGCUGACUAGACUACAUGGGCCGAACUGUCUGCCGGUUUGGACUUCUAGAUUCCUGAUGGGCCGUAUCCUUGCGCAGUUUGAAUUGCUACUGGGCCCAUCGGCCGGUUUCGAUUUCGAUCGAACGGAACCCAUCCAGAGAAGCCACCGAGCACGUACGCGCCGCGCAACUGGGUCCCGGUGCCGACGGGGGCGACGGCGUUUGGUUGGUGUGCAGUGCACUGCGCGGAGGGAGCCGCGAGCAGCGGAGCCGGAGCACCCCCACCGGCGCGGGCGCCGCGGAGAUCAGCGAGCGUACCUGUCCGCACCGUGCAGAUGCAGCGCACGGCGGGAACGCACGCAGUCACCCGCCUGCAGACCACGGGCAAAAGUUUGGGAAGAGGGGCCGGCGCGGCGUAGAAGCGGAACGUACGGCUGGGCAGUUGGGCCAGCCGGGGAACCGACGCCCGCGUGCCCGACUGCCUCGCGAACCGAGUUUGGCCGUGAGGCGCAGGCGGGGGCGGGCAAAGGGCAACGGGACCGCGGAGGCUGGGGCGCCGGCGCUUGAUUCCGCUGGCGCUGGGUGCCUGGGUGGAGUGGUGGUCUCCAGGACCAGGAGGAAUGAACGCGGGCUGUUCUGGCCUGCGACCUGCGUUGUUUCAGCGUUGUACACACACAACACGUCAACACCAGUGCACCAUCCCGACAUUCGUGAAUGCAAUGCGAGCUUGAUGUGUAUAGUACUACUAGUAGUAGCUAGGGGUUAAAGACUAAAUUGCGUGUCCAUACCCUGCUUCGGUUUUAUUGCACAAACCACCAGAUCAAUUAAUUCAUCUCCAAUACGAACUCGUAUAUAGCUAGCUAAUUGGUUGAUUAAGAACACAAAGUUUUUUUUUUGAGAACACGCCUUCACGUGUAUUGCAUUAAGGAGAUUAUAAGAACACACAAACGAACGAUUAAUAAAAGAAGACACACACUUAGUAUGUCUCUCUCUCUCUCUCUCUACCGGCGGCAAUCAGUUAAUCGAAUCUACCAAGCCAUGCAUUAAUAAUAAUAAUUAAACAAGCAACAUUGAUCCAGCUAGCAGGGCAUGCAUCGCGCAGUUCAGGAAGCAGGCCAUAUGCAUGCCUGCGAUGAGCUUCCAAAGGAUAUCAUUCAUGGUCAGACGACCUUGACGACGCCGCCAUGCUUGCGCGGCGACCCCAUGGCCUCCUCCAGCUUCUGCAGCUCGGCCAGCACCGGGGCCACGGCCUGGUGGGCGGCGAGGGGCAGCUCCAUCUCCGUGGCGGCGGCGUCCGUCGUCGUCGGCAGGACCACGGACGCCGAGGGCUUCCGGUAGCAGCAGUAGAGCACCAUCUGGAUGCAACCGAAGAAGAAGCCGCCCACGUUCGGGAGCUGCAUGCAUGCACAACGAAGAACAACACGUCCAUCAAAAUUAUUGCAGACCCGAUCGAUCGUUUAUGCAUGCAGUAGUACUAUAUAUAUAUGUUUACCGUGACGUAGGGGUCCUUGGUGAAGAUGCCGUACAAGAACCAUGCGACGGCGCUGAGGGUGAGGAAGAAGGAGAGGGUGAAGGGCAUGAACUCGGCACUCUUGGUCCUGAUCACAACAAACUGCAAACAGUACAGCAGCAGCAUCCGAUCAAUUCGCACGUCGAUUUCAACUCACAAGCUGCUGCCGAUCGAUGGAGAAGAGACGCUCAUGCUUACGAUGACGCUGAGGGGCGCGACGAAGACGGCCAUGGAGAAGGCGAGGCAGAUGCUGCCGAGCACUUUUACGCGGUGCGGCUCCGCGACGAGCACGACGACGACGACGACGAUGAGCGCCAAGGCGGCCACGUCGAGGAGGAAGAAGAAGGCGAGCGCCCUGAGCCUGGCGGCCCGGGGCGCGUAGAUGAGGUAGAGCAGGAUGUAGGUGGCCUCCACCACGCAGCCGAAGGCGUUGAUGGUCAGCAGCGGGCUCGAGUUGGUCUUCACCACCGCGUACAGGAUCCACAGCGUGCAGCUGAACAGGGCCACCACGUACGGCACCGAGCUGAACCCCUCCGUCGACUUCUUCCGGUACACGCGAAGGAACGUCGGCCUGCACAAUUUAUUAAGUACACACGUACGUGUUUUCUUUUUCAGAUCAAUUAAGAAGCUAUAGCUAAUUAAUAUAUCACUGAUGGGUUGUAUUUCAGCAGACAACGACUUUUAGGGUAGAUGAUCGUAUAUACAGUGCACUUACACUGGUGCGAGGAACACCAGGAAGGAGAUGAUGUUGCCUGCAGGAAAAUUAGCAAAGGGAGAGAUGGGAAUUUCUGUCAGUAAACCUGUGGGAGUAUUUUUCAGUCGGUGUAAACAACACUGAUGAGCAAUCGUUUGGCAGGGGCACGCAUGCCAUCGUGCUGCCGUGCAUGCGAGCUGUAUCGUACGGUGAGCAAUUCAGUAUUGGUGGUGGUGCACAGGCAGCAGCAGCGUACCUAGAAUGCCAAAAGCAGAGACCCAUGGGUGCUCCAUGGAGAAGAGCCCUCCUGCCAUUGCGACAGUAUCAGGCAAGCCGAAGCCCUAUACACUAGUGUGUGAGUGAGGAGAAGCUCGGUCUCUGUUCUUCUCUUUCCCCUGCAGGGAAAGAUCAGAGACCAACUGGGCUCCUACGCCACUACACUACUACCUUCUUAACUCGUGUACCUGUGCGGUGAAUGGCAUUGUGCAGGGAACCAGUGUUUAUAUAGAAGAGCUCUGGGUCCCAUUAGUCGCCACGUGUAUGUUACCUUUACCCAUUAACCGCGCACAUGUUAUGUAGUAUAUUGUACAAGGCUGGGAUUGGAUUUCUAGUGAUACCGGUUAGUGUUACUAAUAACGGAUAACGGCAACACAUAAGAAGAUUACUAAUUAUUAUAAUACUCUCGGUUUGAAAAUACAGGUUGUUUUAGUUUUGUUCUUUGUUAAAAAUCCUCUAACUUUGAACAAAUUUAUUGUGAAUAUAUUAACAUCCCUAACACUAAAUCAAUACUAGGAGUAUAUCAAAACAUAUUUCAUGGCGGAUUUACUGAAAAUAGUUUGAUGUUGUGGACUUUUAUACAUUUUUCUAUAAAGAUUGUCAUAGUUUGAGAAACCAUAUCAGCGAGUACACCUCUCAAAAACAUGAAUAAAGGGAGUACAAUAGGUGGUUUGUUUUUUUUCAUUCGUUUAAGGCCAUCUUUAGUGAUAGCUCCAAAAAUCAAUGGGGCUGCCUCCAUUUCUAAAGCCCUGAAUUCUAUGCUCAAAUUUUAGUGGUAGCUCCAAUUUUACCAUGACAUUGGAACCCCUCUCGUUAGUGUCUUGAAGUUUUCCUUUAUGAUUUUUCCUCUAUCUUUUGUUUCCUUCUCCUCCCCAUCGCUUUUUGUGUGCAUGUGUGGAUGUCUCUUUCUUUCUCAAGGGUGGGCAGGCCGAGCAACACCACCCUUAGGCUUUGGAUGCACCACACCCUUGUAACGCCUUGUCACAUUGCCAUGUUGAGCACAUGACUCAACCGCCAAGACAACAAAAAUAGAGACCUAAGGCGGAUGAGCACCCUGCGCAAAAGUUGAUGGCAGACUCCUCAAUCUAGUGCACAAGGAAUUCCAUAGAAGGAGUCAACAUAAUAACAUCAUGGGUGGUGGAGAUGGCAAUGAGGAUCAAGACGACGGGAAGGACAUCGGAUUCAAAGGCUUCAACGCUGACAACUAGUUGAAGAGACAAGCAACGAGGGUCUUGGUGGUGCCAUUCGUGGAGGGGGUAGAUCCGCUAGUUUGUGGUCUUGCGUGGGGCGGCGGAUCUGCCACCGAGGGCAGAGUGCGGUCGCUGGGAGGCAGUGCAAGAGAUUUAGCAUGGAGUAGUUUAAGCAUGUGCAUAAUUCAACAAACACAAACACUAGAUGGGGGGCGGGGUGGCUUGGUAGACUAGACACCCAUUCUAGGGGGCUAUUAGUGUGAUGUAGGGCUCUCCCUACUUUAAGGGAUUGAGUAGGACCCUAUUGAAGUGAAAUUUUGGUCUUGGUCCCUACAAACAAUGGGGAUAUGUUUAGGAGCUAGAUAUAUGAACCACCAAGUAUCUUGAAUAGGGUAUCUGUGAUUUUCGUGUGAUAACAUGUCCAAUAUAACUAAAAUUUUUUGCAUUGCUAGUAUACAAGGUUUAAGUCUUAUGGAUGAGAACUUGAGAGUGGAUGCACCUCAAAGGAAUUGAAGGCUAAGUGGAUGUAUGACCCUAGAAGAUCUAUUAUAGGUAACCAAGAAACCUCAAACAAAUGAAGCUCAGACAAAAACUUGCAAAGCUGUUGACAAGGGUCAAUUGAAUAAAUUAAUGGAUAGUUCCGCCGAACAAAUUCACAUUUUAAUCUAGUGGCAACAAUAUGUAGCAGAAGUCAAGACCGUGAAAAAGAUUUUACUUGAUGACCCGCCCGUGCAAACACAAGAUAUAUGACUUGUCCUAUCAAACACCCCACCCUAUGAUUGCUUAAGCUUUUAGUGAAAGUGGUAUAGGACUUGACCUAUAUAUUUGGUCUUGUGUACGUACAACCUGGCAAGAGGAGGAAAAGUCUAAGUAUAAAUAGCUCUUAUCUCCAACUCCACACCCAAGCCUCCCCAAAACUAUACACAAUCACACUUACACCUUCAUCACCACUUGCACUCUCUAGGCGGUGAAAAAAGCUCUCUUACUUCCUUAAUUACCUCAAGUCUCAACAAUCUUAUUAGGCCGAACCUUAACUACUUAGGAAAAGAAAAGCACACAAAAGUCGGCUAUCCAGCUAGCCAGAUUAUAUUCUAAUAAUUGUGGGUAAUAACAGCUAACAAUUUUUUCUUCUUUCAUAAAUAACAGCUUAUAAAACUUGGUUGGUGAAGUCUGCACAGAAGAAGAAUGGACACACUUUUAGGCCUUGUUUAGUUCCGAAAAAAUUUCGGAUUUCGGUACUGUAACAUUUUCGUUUUUAUUUGACAAAUAUUAUCCAAUCAUGGACUAGCUUGGCUCAAAAGAUUUAUCUCGUGAUUUCCCGUUAAACUGUGUGAUUAGUUUUUGUUUUUGUCUAUAUUUAAUGUUUCAUGCAUGUGCCGCAAGAUUCGAUGCGGCAGGGAAUCUUGAAAAUUUUUUAGAUUUCGGGCACCACCCACGCACCCAACAAGGUUUUUUCACCGGCAAGAGAUACGACGAAGAGCUCAGCAUGUGUCGAGUACAUGAGCCGAACGGCCGUCCGAUCCGCAAACCUCUCUCGUUCUUUCGCUGGUGCAGUACGUACGUCAGUACGUGCGUGCGGCCAGGGUUAGUUAGGCCCUUCAUUUUUCCCUUUCACUUCAUUCACGCAUGUGUGAAUUGUUCGCUAUCCAGCGCACAUCCACGUGCGCCGAUGUGUAUUAUGCAUGCAUGGUUUGGUCGAACGUUUCAUACGCACUUUGGCAGUGCGAAGCGAUAUGCAUUUUUCUCUGCCAAAGUUACCAGAGUCUGUGAUGACCGGUUUAGUUUUAUGUCAGCAUCUAGGAUUAUUCCUAGACCUGCUUCCGGACCCUUACAGCUGCAUCGCAUAUUCCCAUCGCUCGCAGAACGCGGGGAUCAACGACGACGAGGCCAAUUACAUCGAGCGCAGCUAGCCCGGCAACGGAAACGGAGGAGGAUGCUUUUCCUGCGCCGAGACCGAGAGGUGACGAAAACGGAAAUGUGAUGUGCCUGCCUGCUGGUGCUCGGUUCACUGGCGCCUACUGUACGUCUGUACCUGGCCUACUGGCUGAUCUGAUCGAGAUCCUAUCCGGGGCGGCGUCCAGCUGAGCUGCUAGCUGCCGCUAGUGAACAAUAAUGCAGCGCUGCCGAACCGCGCGCGCCUCUCGCCGAGAAGGGAAAAUAAAGUCGGCAAGGAUAGCUAGGAUGCGCGAGGUCGAGGACGACGAAUUGCAAGUGCCUUCCGGCUUCCGCUGCCGGCGGCGUGGAGAACGAUCGUGCUACACGGGGCCGAGAACGACCGGGAGGGAAUCUUUGCCGAGCGUGCAGCAUUUCCUCCACGGCUCGAAUGGCCGGGAGAGAAGGCAAAGUGUCCUCUCCUCGAUAGAGUGUGCCCCUGGCGGCCUGGCGUGCUUGGUGCUCUCCUGCGUUGCGUGCUGCUCCUCGUACCGUCUGACUCAGACUCGCUCGGCCAUCUGUAUCUGUAUCUUUUUUUUUUCUUUCGCUGCUCACUGCAAUUUCCCAUACUCGGGACGCUUGGAAUUAUUGCUUGCGCGUGCUGUCGAGGGAGUCUAGGACGUGCUCACAUGAAAGUAUCCACCAUGUGUAUUUGUAGCAUCUGUCUACUGCUAGUAGCGUAGGAAGGGAUCGUACCUCAAGUGUUGUGUGCUGUUCGAGCCGUCGAAGCCUUCCUCGGUGCUGAUCGAGCUGGAGGCCAUUAGCCAGGGCACUAACGUACGUACGCUUCUGUGGCCUACUUGUGUCUGGACAGGGGAACAGGAACAGAGAGAUUCCAUCGUUUCUUUUCUCAACAUUCGCACUGACCAUUUGGGUGUCAAGCACCCAGGGAGAUGAUUGCGCUCAACUUCCCGUUAAUAAACACGGCCCUGGCGCCAUCUGAAAUGCUCGCAGAAGUGAACAUAAAGCCCAUGCGAUUCCAUUCCAACACGGUGCAAAUUUGAAGGGCGUGAAGAAACUAAAGCCAAACAUGACAAACCCUUUCUACAGGCAAUUCCAAUUUGCAAUAACACAUAUAUCUAUAUACAGUGGAUAAUCCAAACAGCUAAGGAGUUAAAGGAGCUCUUCUGUUAUUUUUUUUCUUAGAACACCAAACGAGAAGCACAUCAGAAGAACUGAUGCGCUCCCAGGACACUGAGUAAGAAAGCACUGCAGCAGACGUAUAUAUCCUAGGUGGAGUGAAAGCACAGGCGCACACAGAACACACAAAAGUUGCUUCUUCGUUGUUGGUAUCAGGCAGGUUUCACAAAAGGAUGCGUCAGAGACGUGACAUGGCUUGCUAGUGAGCUCCACUGGUUGUUCCAUGGACACUGCUAAUGGAGCCCCAGUGAGAAUCUCCCGUUCCCAUCUGCACAGCAACGCUGUCCAUGGACUCUGAGGUCCCGCUUCGGUGACCCCAACUUGAUCGCCUCGAAUGCACGCCAGCCCUCCCUUCCACAAGCUCAGGAAGGGUUUCUCUGCUAAGAUCCGGGGAUGCAUGGGCUACUCUGCCUUCCUUCUCGUCCAAUAGACCGCCUAAACCAACCUCCAAAUCUCUGAUAUCAGCUGCUGACCGAGGUUCAUCCCAUGAUAUUGGCUUUCUGCCCAAUUCAAGUUCUCCAACAGGUUUACCCAUGUUUGGGCUCAUGAAACCCCUUGCUGGCGCAUGUGAUUGCUGUAAACCUUGCUCUACUGGGACCCUAGCUCGGAAGUUGUUCUUGGAAGGAGGGACUGCGGUGCAGAAUAUCUCCAUGAAGUUGUUCACGAUCCCUCUGUUGUAAGGAUUGGCCCGCCGAUCAUAGCGAUAUCUGAAGUUCUCAUAGGUUGUCUGCAAAGGAUAGGAAAAGUGAUUGCAAAUUCCUAGCAAUAUGCUUAUGAGUAAAACAACCAAUUCCUAGCAAUAUGCUUACAGGUAAAACCAACUAUAUUAAAAAGUUGACAGGGUACCAACCUGGUUAGUGCUCAUGAGAUAGAAAUGGAAGACAGACAGACCACCCACAAACCACACACAGAUGAAGCAGUAUAUGAUCAGAACAAUUGAUGCUGGUGUCUUCAACAUUGCUUUCCAAAUCGACGAUUGUUCUGCGUCUCUAAUCUUCACAAUGUACACCCAGCAAAAGCCAAAUACAUAGAGGCACAGUAAUGUUGUCGAGAAUACGAACAUAUAGAAAAAACGAUAAUUGCGCUGCAGCAGAUAAACAUGCAGUUAGCACCAAAUAACAAAAGCUGCAGUUAAUUACAAAGAGUUCCUCUGAGCAAUCUCCAGAUAACAAAACUGGAUGCAAUAUCAAAAUGCUGAGAUAUAUCUUCAGAUAACAAUACUGGAUGAAUAUUGAACUGCUGAGCAGCCUUCUGAUAACACUACUGGAUACAAGAUUAAACCGCAACGCAUAUUCAACAACGAUGUUAAGCUAUUCAAGGCAUUCCCAAACUUACCAAUCCUAUGCAUUGCCCAACCCAAGGGCAGUGGUGAUCGAAGCGCUCCACACAGUUAUUACAGAUAGAACAAUGUGAGCAUCGAGGUGGUCUGUACAGCAUGCAGGUGUCACAGUACUUGACCUUCACAAUGACCCCAUUUACGAUAACAUCCUUUGUCCGUGGCAACCGCAAUUGUUGAGGUGUCUGACCAUUUCCAGCAUCAUUGAUCAUAUCAAUAGCUUCGGGUUCAGGAGGAUGGGUGUUACGAGGCACUAUACCAGGAUCUCUACCAGAGGUAAGAAGCAGCAGUGUCAAAUCCUGGAAAACAAAAGAAAUAAGGUUCAGUCGAAGAAAGGAGUACAGCAAACCACAGUGCCUCACAUUGUUGAUGAAUUAAUUUACUCAGUAAAGUUUAUUCACAAAGCUAUUGCCUUCAAUGAUAAUCCUAAAGCAUUAAAAAUCUUAUUUUCUUUGAGGUUUUCGAUGGUCAACUAAGUAAUAUACCCUUUAUCUUUUGCACAUGACAUGUAAAUGCUAUCAGCCAACAACACUAAUAUCUCCAUAACCGCAACCCAAUGUGUUUCUCAGGGCUUUUAGUAAAGGUUCUAUAGAUUUUGACUCAUUGCUUUGUUGCUUAAACUGGAGAGUUGUUUCUCGUUGCUGAUAUUUAACAAUCAAUUACAGUAAAAUGAAAAUGGGUCCAAAGAACUAUCAUUCAUGUAGGACAGACCAACCACAGAGCUACUCACACCAUUCCAUUAGAUUGGGAUGCAAAACAACCAUCAUUCCAAUGGUGGCUAUAGUUACAGCUUCAUCUUUGUCCACAAUCUUUGAAAGAAACUAGUAUUAGCAUCAUCUCGAAGGAUGUUCAAGAUGAGGCCAUGCUAGUUGUGGUUACAUUUUUUUAUGAAUCAUCUUGGACUCCUUUCUUCUUAAUAUAAGCAACUAGUUAUAGUAGGAGAUGAAAGGUUGAUACUUCUAAAAUUUACAGAUGUCAUAAUCAAGACCCAUCUCCAGGUAUUAGCAACUGGUACAACUGCAUUCAUUUAGUGCGAACAACCUAACAGCACUAUUUGGGAUCUAAAAGCUCGACAUCAGAAGGGGUUCAACUGCUACAACUCUGAAAAAAUUGGAAUUCAAACAUAAAAAAAAUGAGUACUAAAUAAAAUCUGUUGUAAGACAACAGAUUUACAGCAAUGAACUAACAUAAAAAAUUGGACCACCCCAUGUAUUAACAAUCUGCUUGCUGUACACUGCCAUAGUUCAUAUUUAUCCAGAGCAUCCAAUUAUCAAGCAAGAGAUAAGAGAACACGGUUAUAGCUGCCAUAUGAAAUAACUAAUAGCAGACCACAAAAUUCCUUGAAAAAGUUCAGAAAGCACAACAACACUUACAUAUAUUGUGAAGACAAUCACUACGACCAUAACUGAAACUCCCCAAUGGUCAGGAAAGUCAUUGAUAAGAUGUCUGGCCACAAAUAUACAGAAAACCACUACUGGUGCAAGAAUGAGGAAUAUGGUGAGAAACAAGGAUCUCACAUCAGGUCCAAAUAUGAACCACCCUUGCAAGAAAAACUCCUGAAAAGAAUAUCAGCAAACUUAAAUGGCCUUGCAAUUGUGAAACAGAUGUAUAAAAAAAUAAAGCAUCAUGUAACAUAUGAAAGCGUUGAGUUCGAGAACAUUUCAUCCAUCAGAUACCAAACAACAAAAAUAUCUACUCAACACUUCAGCUGUAAAAUCUGCCAUUGGAAAAUGAAUGUAUAAUACAAGAAAGAUAAUAGAAGGAUAUUGUAUAAAGCAACGAAUUAUAAUGAACUAAAGAAGCAUCAGAACAUGUCAUAGUGUAAAUUAGGAUUCUGUUCACAGGGAGGAUGGUGCUGGACAGGCCGACAGGCCCUAUAUAAUGAUUUCUGGAAGUUAACCAGGUAACAUCUCUAAUUAAUUGUAAACUUGAAGCCGAUUUGCUAUCCAAAAGCCAAGGGAAUAAGGGAUACUGACCACUGGCAGGGAAGAAGUUGUGCCUAACUACCAGAAAGAAAUUCAAUUACAGAUGCUUCACAAGAAUUGAAUGAAUAAACACAUGGGCAGUGAGCAGCUGACAAUAAAUGUUAAGUCUCAGAUGAUGAAAAAAUACUGCCUGCCUGGGAAAUUACUCGUAGACCAUCUCAAAAGAAGCCCCAAUGGCUUGUAAACAGAGUCAGGCUAUAAUCUGAGAAAGAGUUGGACAAUCUAGAGUAGCAGAAUGGGUGGGGAAACAGGAAAGAAAAGGGAUGGGGGAAAGGAAGUUCUGUGCGAUAAAAGAAGUUUCCUCAUCACAGCUUAUUCAACAGAUGGUGAGCUCAGGUACAUACGUCAGGUUAUGACUCGGCCUGCUGAAAUUAUGCUCAAGUUCCAGUAAAGCUGAUUCCAUCUAGUAAGUUAAGGUUCAAACAAUGAACAGAUGGUGAUUCCCCAUAGGUGAAUAAAAAGUAUCCCUCAAUGAACAGGUGGCAAUUCCCCCACAGAUGAAUAAAAAGUAUCCCACUUCCCCUAAAUGGACAAAAGGGUUUUUUGAAUGAAAAGUAUCCCUACUCUCCGUAAAUGGAUAAAAGGGCAUUUCUACAAAUUAGAACAACAUCAUCAGUACCCCAAUGAUUUUCCCCAGAAUGGUAGGCACGCACAUCACCAACCUAAGUAUUUUGUUAUUCUGCUCAAUGCCUCGAAGCGAUAUUUUCCCACCAAACACCGAAACCUGAUCGGCUGAUCAACAUGCCACAAAGAGAUAAACCAUUUGUAGCUGAUAAACUAAGUGUAGUUUCCAAUGAAAAGGAAACCUUUGCUCCACCUAGUUUCAAUCCAUGUUUUAUAAUUCAUUCCAGAACCGUUCAGCAGUUACAUCAAUUAAAGUAAUCUUUCAUCACAAGAGCUAGUAUGUCCUGCCCAGACUGAUCAGUACACUACAAGUAUGAAAGGCGAUUGUUGUACUGGAUGUUGUCAGCAUAAUGUUCAAAUUAAAUAAAGCACGUGCUCUUUCUAGUUUCAAUCCACAUUUCAUGAUUCAUUCCAGAACAGUGUAAUAGCUGCAAGGUGUCCAAAAUGAAAACAGGUGAAUUUUACUAUUAUACAAUCUACUCUGCCCACGCAAUUUGAUCAACAGAAGAAAAUAGAAAUCAUGUUCUCAUGCAUAUUCCCAAUAUGAUACCCAAUAGGCCAAUACAGAGGAAGUAAAAAAUGUUCUUAUCUUCUAUGAUGCUCGAGGUAACAAAAGCAUGCCCAAGCUUGAAGCGAAACUAUAAGGAAAAGGAGACAGAUGGAUAGCUCUUGGUGUCUAACUGUCUAUCAAAGCAAACAGGACUCCUGUAUGAGAGAAAUAGAAUCUAGAUUCCAAGCUGCCACAACUACGAAGGCACAGAAACUUGAAACAUCUACAUGCUUGGUACCUCCAGUGACAUUUUCACAUUUAGGUAUAAACACUUUAAAGUCUAAAACAUAAGAUAUAAGUGGCAUCAACAUACUCAAACAAUCCAAAAUUCUAUCCACUAAGUGACUAAACCCCUACAUUUCAAGCACAGGAUCACACAGACCGCAGGCACCUGAACCUAACGCACAACCGCAGCAGCUAAUUUUCCCACCAAUAGUGCAGGACCGCAUCAGGGUCCCUACCGUCUUCUCACAAAACCCUUGCUUAUCACCGUACGCCCAGAUCCAGAUGCACUGUUCACAGGCACACAAAAUCCAAAACCAGGAGUUACAGAAACAGAGAGAGAGAGCGCGAGCUUACGUUGCUUCCUCGCCAAACUUGGUAAACCCUAGGCUGCUCUCCGGCAGCGCCGGCUCCCCCGCCGCCUCGGGACGGCGGCUCGUACAUCUCCAGCUCCCUCCUGCCGCAGCACCUCCACUGAUCCCGAACCCUUAGCUCAGCACAGCUUGCACAGCCUCCUCCUCCUCCGGCGCCCCUCUCCGACCGCGCGAGCAGCAAACUCCGAGAUCUCCCGAACCGAGCGCACCCAACGCACCACGCCUAGCACCUCGGAGCCGCACCUCCGGCGCCCACGGCCGCCGUCGACGAAUCGUACCGGGGCAGAACGAGAAGAGGGAGCGCGGACGAUGCGAUGGCGCGGCGGAAUGGCGACGGAAAACGGCGGAUGUGGGUGUGAAUGUGAACGGAGAAGACAAGUCCUCGCUCCAGCACUCGCGAGAGAAAUGCGCCUUGGCGGAGUGGGGAGCACGCACGGCCUGGGGUGGUGGGGGUACACGGCGGCGUGCGCGUAGCAGCGGGCGGUGUGCCACCGUGUCAGCAAGUAGUGGGACCGGGAGGUUUACAGUUUACGGGUGGGAUCCACUUGGCAGAGAGAGAAAUCGGGACUGCGAGGAGCCUUCCUUGACUUUUUCAGUUCCGCGAGCAGUUGGUGAACGGGUGAGCGUCCGGGAAGGCGUUCUACAACCGUUUGACCGGGUUUAAGCAUGGCUGAUCGGAGAUUUUUUUGAUAACGACACAAGGGAAUAUUUGAUAAUGUAGAGCCUUUUGUGGCGUGGUGUUUUCUUGCCACUUGCAAGAUGCAGCUAGGAUUUGUCAACUAUUCGUUAAGAUUUUUUUUUUGGUUGAAACUUCAGUUCAUCAGAUAUCAAUGAUGAAUGGCCGGCGCGGAGUAAUAAUAAUUAAUUUUUCACUUUGUUCAUUUGAAAUUAUCUGUUAAAUCUGUUAGCAAGCGAAUAGAAUAAAACAACACUUUUAGUUAUACACAUAUAGAUAUAGAUAGAUGGGUGGUCAUAGCACAUGAUUUUUAUGUGUGAAUAAAAUGCAUCGCCGAUCCUCCAAUUGGGGUAUAUCUCGGUAUCUAAACUCAAAAGGUGUGUUAUUUCAGUUUUUAUUAAAUAUUGUUUGGAUCUAUCCAUCCUAAAUGGGUAUAAAUUAUAAUGGUAAUUUUUUCCAUCACGAAAUCACGAUGCUACCUUUACACGUAGAGCAAUAUCUUUACCAAUGCCCAUGUUUUCUCGAAACAUCAAACAUUAUAGUACGCUAUGAUUACGCUAUGUAUAUAUACUCUACAUGUUUGGUCAAGCCGAGAUCGCUAUUACUAAACUUACAGUUAUCUGGUCCAAAUUUAUUGCUAAAUGACUAAGUCAUGCACUCGUGCAUUGACCUAUAAUAGGUCAGUCUCUAGUAGCAGCCGUUUGGAUCCUUUUAUCUAAAUAAAUUAAAAUCUACAUAAUAAAAUAGACUAUUUGGCUUGAAAUUGACAUUCCAUCAUUUUCUAAAAUUCACAUAUAAAUCUAUCUCAAAUUUAUAGAAUGAAAGAUGAAAAAUUAAUUUUAUAGAUCAUAAUUCUAUGUUUCUACUUUGCAACUUAUAUUAUAUAACAUGCUAUUCAUCUCGCUCCUCUACGGUAGAAACACAAAAUAUAAUUAUUUUUCUCGUAUAGUUAACAAUAGUAUACAAACAUAAUUCAUAUACAACUAUAUUAGCUUAAUAUAUAUAUGUCUAAAUUAUGGUUAUUAGAAUCCAAAUGGGGCUUAAGAGGUUUAUGUUAUUAAAGGUGACAAGAUAUAUAAUAGAUAAAAAUAGAUGAUGAAAGUUUUAUGAGACAAAAUGAGUUUAUGAAGAUAAAAAUACACUGUUUUCGACUCAUAGUCAUAGGUCCUUAGAAACUUGAACAUAAAUAAAACGAUCCACUAAGACUAAUGCAAUUGACGCAACCACGAUUCACUCCGUAGCAUUUUCACUAUGCGCGUGAACAAGUGCAACCACGAUUGAUGCUGUAGCAUUUUCACCACACGCAUGAACAAGUGAUCCCACUCGCAAGUCAUAUACACACAUCAGCAUCGGGUCAGAAAGCAGGUGUGGACUUUGAGCCGUGUGACAGCAUCGCCAAGGUCAGUGACAUGCUCAUUUCGUUUGGCCUGGUCCAGGGCUCCAGGCCCCUGUUGAUAUGGUUGAUCUCGACCGUUGAACGGCAGGGAAGUGAUGGAUCGGGCGGCCGGCAGGUACCCAGGCGAGUUCAUGACAGGGUUUACGUGUUGCGAACACGCGACGCGGGCACACCGCACACAUGCAAACAUGUGGUGGCGCCGUGGUUGUGGUGAAAUGCACCGGAUCCAGACGUCCUCUAGGCUCUGGUCUGCGUCGAAAACUAAAAAGUUUUCAAGAUUCUUUAUCAAAAGUUUUUAAGAUUCUUUAUUACAUCAAAUCUUACGGCAAAUACAGAAAGCAUUAAAUAUAGACAAAAACAAAAAUCUAAUUACGUAAUUUACCUGUAAAUCGCGAGACGAAUCUUUUGACCCUAGUUAGACUAUGAUUGGACAAUAUUUGCCACAAACAAACAAAAGGACAAAAGUGUUAUAGUAGCGAAACCCAAAAGGUUUUCACAUCUAAACAAGACCUAAGUGUGAUGAUCCAACAUGCUUAGGCUAGUCUCGAUGCAUGUUUCAUAAGAAUGUCAUGCACAUUAAAUAGGGUGCCACCAUGGGCGGCGCCAGGGGUAUUCCCCUGUAUGCCAUGGAAUACCCAAGAUUUUGGAAAUAAACACAAAUACAUAUAUGUAUACGUAUAAGUAUAACGUAUAUAGUUGCUACAUGAUGUAAAUCUGGCUCAAAGCCCAAUAGAAAGCAGUGAUUUUCAGCUCAAUUAACAAAGUAAAGAAAAAAAAAGAUGGCAACGUUUCCUGGCUGCCGCUCUUAGGGGAUGUUUGGUUGCUAGCCAUAGUCUACCACAAUUAACUUUAGGUAAGUGUGGCAAGCCAUAAAAAGUGUGACUAGCAAAUUGGUUGCCACACUUUGUCAUGCCUAAAGAAAUCUUGACACACUUUUAAACUCUAUGACAUGUGGAGCCCAAAAGAAUCAUGCCUAAGCUUAGUUGUCAACCAAACACUUGCCAAUUUGGUCAAACUUGUCUAAGUUAAAGUGUGACAAAUUGUAGCUAGUAACCAAACAGCCCCCUAGUCUCCCAACUCACAUCGCAUCGCACCAACUCGCGACCCUAGCGUCGUGGCUUCGGCGACCGGUGGGCAGUGACGACUGGCGAGCCCGGCGCUCCGGCAGCCGGCGAUGUCCACGGUUUCGGUUCCGGCCUCCGGCUUGCUGCUUGAGGCAAGGUGAGCACAUACACUAGCACAUUUGCAUCGAAAUUAUUAGAGAAAAUGGCACUAUGACACUAUGUUCAGAUCUUGUACGUUGCUUAAGCCUUGUUUAGUUCUCUACACGAAUUUUGUUUUGGCGAUGUUUCGUUUGUAUUUGAUAAUUUUUGUCUAACUAUAGACUAACUAGACUUAAAAGAUUUAUUAUCUCAUAAAUUAUAGAUAAAUUAUGUAAUUAGUUAUUUUUUAUCUAUAUUUAAUAUUUCAUACAUGUGCUGCAAAAUUCAAUGUGAUAAAAAUGUUAAAAAUGUUUUUAGUUUUUGUGUGGAACUAAAUUAACAAAGCCUUGUUACUAUUGCACAUUUACAUCAAAAAUUUUUAUAUGCUCGGAAUACCCAGCCGUAAAAUCCUGGCUCCGCCACUGGGUGCCAUAUAAGCAAAAUUACUGACUUGACAGGUUCAUUAAAUGAAGGAGGUUCAUCAAAUGAGAGAAGAGUUUUAUCCCCAUAAAACUCAUGUGGCUUGGUUUCAUAGUUUAUAGUAUUGGUAACUGUACCAUAAAACUAUGCAUUAAGACUGGCCUUACAAAGCAUCUAGAGAGAGAAAAGAGAGGGGGAGGAGGAGGAGGAGGAGGAGGGAGAGAGAGAGGGAGAUGCAGAUAAAGAACAACACUGCACCAUUUGGACGCUCUUCGCAGUCUACGAACCCUCGCUUGCUUCAACUUUCACCUCCUUCCCUCCGCAUCUUUCUUCUAACACCUCCCCUCCUUUUCUCUCUCUAUUGUUUCUUCUUGUCGUUCGUAGGAGAGAUCAUGGCGUCCUAGUUGUGCAACAUAGGAACUAUACAACUAGCUAGGCAGCAGCGAAGGGAGCAGCGCACCUGCCAAGCAGUAGAGAUGUACAAGAACCAGCUCCUGACGUCGUACGUGUGCACGCCCGAGGGCCCCGACCACACGCCGCGGUUCCGUGCCGCCGUCACCUUCAACAGCGAGACCUUCGAGGGCCCCAGCGGUUGCACCACGCUUCGCCAGGCCGAGCACGCCGCCGCCGAGGUCACCCUCGCCCGCCUCUCCCUCCGUGCCCCGUCCACCUCCCUCGCUACCCAAGUCUUCGUAAGUCACCACCGUCAUCUUUCUGCGCGUGCUCUGUGUUCUACUCCUUGCUGCCGUCGAUCUCGACGUGGAAGGUGAAACCGUGCACAUUGCACAAGAUGAGACGGGGUUGUACAAGAACCUGUUUCAGUCAAAGAUUGCAGCCAUUCAAGAGUGAUUUCCUCUUACAACGCCAAACGAAUACAUCUUUAGUACUAUUAGGUGACUUUAUCCUACCGUUUGCUUCUUACAAAGCUAUUCGUUGUUAAAAAAACAACAACACAAAGCUAUUCCUAGCUAUGGCCCUUGGCCCAUGGGCCCUCUGCUUCUUUUUUUUUUAAUGAAAAGGAUUAGGCCCUGUUUAGUUCCCCAUAAAAAAAAAUUCAUCCAUCCCAUCAAAUCUUUAGACAUAUGCAUAGAACAUUAAAUGUAGAUAAAAAAUAAACUAAUUAUACAGUUUGGUUGAAAAUUGCGAGACGAAUCUUUUAAGUCUAGUUAGUCCAUAAUUAGCCUUAAAUGCUACAGUAACCCACAUGUGCUAAUGAUACAUUAAUUAUGCUUAAUGAUUUGUCUUGCAGUUUCUAGACGAGCUAUGUAAUUUGUUUUUUAUUAGUUUCUAAAAACCCCUCACGACAUCCUUACGAUACAUCUGAUGUGACACCCAAAAAUUUUUCAUCUCCAAUCUAAACGUUGCCUCAAUCCUUGUGAUGUUCGCUGCUGAUGUUUUUUCGAUCCUGCGCCUCCAAGUCACAUUCGCGUGAAAUGCAGGCAGUGGACUAGUGGAGGGAGAGGGAGUGGACACAUCCGCUUCAGGCUUUAACCAUUCGGCUCGGUGAUCAGAGUCAGAGACCCGGGUCUUGGGUCUUGAGUUCCCAAUUUUUUUUUUGUUCGAGGUACUAUAAUACUUUCAUUUUUAUUUAGUAAUUAUUUUUUAAUUAUAAACUAACUAGACUUAAAAAAUUCAUCUCGCGAUUUACAGAAAAACUGUGUAAUUAAUUUUUAUUUUCGUCUAUAUUUAAUGCUCCAUACUUAUGCCGUAAGAUUCGAUCGAAAAGUUUUAGGUUUUUGGGUGGGUAUGGUCUAUGGUGCCAGUACAUGUUGCCACACAUGGCAAUGAUGUGCCGACGUCGAUGGCCACCCUCACCCCGAGCAGGGUCCUGGCGUCAACAUCCGCGUUCGCUCGCCUCGUCGUGGCACUAGCAGAGUAGCGCCCCCUCCCCAAACCCCAUGGCAGUUCAUGGAACCUGCCGCACGCACACGGCGCACCCAUCGGUCCGCGCUUCGGCAGGCGAGUCGAGAGUGCCGGCCACACCGUCUCGGCUGCCCCUCCCUAGUGGCUGGUGGUGGCGAUCCACGCGCGCGGAUCGAUCCGGCAGUUGCCUAGUUGGUUUGGUUGAUCCCAUGCAGACCAACGACCCGGGCUGGCCGCUGCGUCGCGACAUGCAGUCAUGCACACAGCACACACCGUCCACCUGGGACGCGAUCCCAUAUCCCACCACUCUUCUCCUGUCUUCUUAAGUUUGGUUCAAGUGCUCUCUCCUUCGUUCGAACAUUGCACGAGAAAACGAUAAAAAUAUAAGAACUGAUCGACUACCGAAGGUCCACGUUAUGUCGAUGACUAGUCCUUUCCGCUAAUACUUUAAUGCCUAUGCUCGACAUGGUUCGAACCAUCUAUUUGGUUCGCUUUUAACUUGUGACAACAAACAUCCGAUCGCUCCAAUGUUUUGGUUCGCUUUUCCAUCUCACAGUUCGACUCAUGAGUAAAACUGGAGCUGCUCUAAUGGGCAUUUACCUACGCUAGCUGCCACUCCUCCGUGCACCUAUUCUCAUCUGAUGGCCUGCCAUUCUCAUUUUGGAAAACACACUCAUGGCUUGUUUAGUUCUAUUUUUUACAAAAUGGUCAAUGUAGCACUUUCGUUUAUAUUUGACAAAUAUUAUCUAAUCAUGGACUAACUAGACUCAAAAGAUUCGUCUCACAAAUUAUAGGUAAACUAUGCAAUUAAUUAUUAUUUUUAUCUAUAUUUAUUAUUCUAUAUAUGUGAUGCAUGAUUUGAUGUGACAGAAAAUUUAAAAAAAUAUAAUUUUUUUUUGAACUAAACAAGGCCCAAUCAAGACCGUAGUAAUGGACGCCUACACUUUGGUACACCAUCUCUGAACUUUGAACCUUCCACCGCAGCUGCAGUGCAGGUGUACUACUUCACUGCCAUUCUGCCAAGAAGAGGAACGAACACAAGUGGCGAUAGGAUCGCUCACGUUCCAGACCAUUUUGCACACCACCUUUGUCCAGGCCGACGCGGUGGCAGGCGCAGCACAGGCGAUCCCGGCUCGAAUUGAUGGUGAUCCUGAUCCCUCACCAUCCCUCCCGGCCUUCCGCCCUUCCCUCCUCGCUUGCGCUCGCGUGGCUGGCUGUGCACGCAUGGCAACGCUGGAGUUUCGUCUGCAGAAGCAUUACCUGCCACUGCCACCACGAAUGGAAGUUGGCUCUACCGUUUGAUCACCGUGCACUAGGUCUUUGGUCACUUGCCUAAAAUGAACAAUAAUCUCAGCCAAAACAGAGUCCGGGACAAAAACAUAUUUAGUCCCGGUUGGUGAGAACAACCGGGACUAAAAGUCCCCUGCCCAACGGCUAUUAUGUCAGACAUCGGCAGAGGGGACUUUUAGUCCCGGUUGUUCUCACCAACCGGGACAAAAGCCAAGCCUUUAGUCCCGGUUGGUGUUACCAACCGGGAUUAAAAGCUUUUGUCCCGGUCCGUCCCACCGGCCGAGACUAGUGUUGGAAUUUAGUCCCGGUUUUUAAAAGGAACCGGGAUUAAAUGUCCCUCCCCAUAUUUGAACUCUUCUUCCCGUGGCCGAGCCCAUCGAUCUUCACUCUUUUGCUGUGUUCUUCAUUUGGAGUUGCUUGUUCUAGCUUGCUCUCAUCUCCGGCUAUUGAUUCAUUUCAUCGUUUCUACACCGUCAUCGACUUGUUAAGAGGUCACUAGCUUCAUCUUCUCAACAUUUAGAAGCGGCGUAUGUCAUUUCCUAGUGUUAUAUUAUUUUUUAUUUUAUGGUUUUUUUAAGAGGUUAUUAGCUUCAUCGCCAUUUCAAAAGCGACGCGUUUUGUUAGAGAAAUAGUGGUAAUAUGUUUUUUAUUUUAAUUAGUUUAGAAAAAAUAAAAUCAUAUAAUACUUUAAUUUGCAAUUUUUGACCGAUUUAGUUAGUUAAUUAUAACUAGUAUACAUACCACAUUUCAUGAUUAUUUAAGAAAAUAGAGAAUUUUUGUGCUUUUUUAAUUUAGCUUGUUUAUAAAAAAUAGAAAUAUAGAAUUUUAGGUUUUUUGUUACUUUAAUUUCUCUAUUAAAAAUAAAAACAUAUAAUACUUUAAUUUGCAAUUUUUGACCAAUUUAGCUAUUUAAUUAUAACUAGUAUACAUACCACAUUUCAUGAUUAUUUAGGAAAAUAGAGAAUUUUUGUGCUUUUUUAAUUUAGCUUGUUUAUAAAAAUUAGAAAUAGAGAAUUUUAGGUUUUUUGUUACUUUAAUUUCUCUAUUAAAAAUUAGAAACUUAUAAUACUUUAAUUUGCACUUUAUGACAUGGUUAAUUAGUUAAUUAUAACUAGUAUGCAUGCCACAUUUCAUGGUUAGUUAGAAAAUAGAGAACUUUUAUGUCUUUUUAAUUUUGUUGGUUUAGAAAAACCAGAAAUAGAGAAUUUUAGGUUAUUUGUUACUUUAAUUUCUUUAUAAAAAAUUAGAAACUUAUAAUAUUUUACAUUGCAAUGCAGACAAUGACACGUCAUUGGAUGUACAAUGCCGAUCGCCGCUCCAAAGAAUUCAUUGAUGGUGUGCAUUAUUUCUUAAGAGUGGCCGGGGAAAACAAGCGGGAUGGAUUCAUAUGUUGCCCAUGUGCCUUGUGUCAGAAUUUGAAGGAAUAUUCUAGCUCUAGAAAUAUUCACUCACAUUUGUUGAAGUCGGGUUUUAUGCCAAACUAUAUUUGUUGGACCAAGCAUGGAGAAAACGGUAUAAUGAUGGAAGAAGGUGAAGAAGAACAGUUGGAGCCUGACGACAUUAUUGCUCAAUACGGUGACUUCGGUGAUACAGCAAUGGGAGAAGCUGAAGAUGAGGCAGAUGCAGAAGGCGCACCUGUUGAAGAUGAUGCUCUUGGUGAUGUCAUUCGUGAGGCACAAAAAGAUUGCGAAAGUGAAAAAGAGAAGACAAAGUUUGACCACAUGUUAGAAGAUCACAAGAAAUUAUUAU